GGUAAAAGAUAGAACAGUCUAGCCAAGUGCCAUAUCUCUUAUUCUUGAUCAGCUAUAGCUCUGGGGUUUUUGCAGAUUUUCAAAUAAAACUCAGAGAUUCCUUGUAUGAUUCUCUCAGAUCUCUCUUUUGUGGUAUUUCUGGAUCCUUACCAAGGCAGUGAUGGUAUAUGCCUUCUCUCAAGAUAUGUGGUAUUUAUGGUAUAAAGCAUAAUGACAUUGUCUUCUCUCUCACCCUACUCUAAUAAGGCUUUAAUAUCUGGAGCUCAUAGGUGGGAGUUAAAUUAUACAUACUUACAAGACAUUUAUUGCAUAGUCAAACCAUGGAUCCAAAGAAACAAAUCAAUAAGUCAAAUCAAGAUGUGCAUGUGUGGCGAAUGAAUGGUGUAUGGUGAUGAUGGUGAUAACAAUGGUGGAAACAAUGGUGGUGGAAGUCUAAUUCUACUUUGCUCUUUGAGGGGAUACAUACCUUCCUUGCUUUUGAAACAUUAUGAGGAGAAUGAGAUGCUCUUCUUUUUUUUCUUUUCUCUCAGGUGGGUAUCUUGUACCCCUAAUUUCUACUGUCGGACACUUGUCCAUGUUUACCUCUCGUCUCACUUUUUCUUUCGAGGUUCCGAGCACUUGCUCCUUUUUAUUUCCUCGUAUUAUUAUUUCUUCUUCUCUUUUUUUAGAGCACUCAUUUCUUGAGAUAAUAUAGCAAGUGGUAGUAACAAGAUAACUUGAGCAUUUAUUUCACAAGGGAAAACAGAGAUAUUUUUGGUUAUUCUCUCCCAAAUUAGGAGUAGAAUAUUUUUUGGGUGAUUCUGGAGAUGGAUGGAUAUAUGUGGAUGGUACUUCUGGAGUAGAAGUAGCAUAUAUGAGUGAACGUGCAAGUGAAAUCUUGAUUUAACCACAUGACAAGCUCCUAAGGGUCUACACAGCUUGACCACACUCAAUGCUCAUAAGUAGUAAAUAUUAAAUGUGUGGCUCAAAGUCUAGCAAGCAUGUAUAUAUAUGGCUGUGGUAGGAAUUUAAACUCUCAUCAUACAGGAACUCAUCAUGCAACAUUUUAAAGAUGUUCAAAGACAAAAUUCUCCAGAAUUCUAGCAUCUCUAGAAACAGAUAAACAGCAGCUCAACAUUCCCAUAUCGUAUCCGUUAACAACUUAGACUUCAGAUCAAGUUUUCAUCCCACAAGUUUAGGUCUAGAGCAAGCUUUAAAUUAUAACAGUUAUGUCUAAACUUGAGAGAGAACUUAAAAUGUGCAAAUUAGGCAGAGCAACUGUUCAUCAUAUCCACUUCAUUUAUUUAUUAAACGUACUAAGCAAAAGACAUAUAUAUAUAUAUAUAUGUUUGGUUUUCCAUAGUUUAUGUGUAUUUCUAUUCUAAAAUAAUAUAAGUAUAAAGAUAGAUAGAAAUACUUAUCGAGAUAAAUGGGGGUGCUCUCCCCCAAGCUGAAUUUUAACGUAAUUUCUCUUGAUGUAGCUAGCAGGUGGUAGAGGUGUAUUUGAAAGUCAGCAGCAUUCUGACAGCGAUUAGAAUGUCCUCCGUCUGCUAGUCUUCUUGAUUCUUAAAUUCUGUGGAGCUCAAAUAGACAACAAAGCUUGUGGAACUUGAUUAAGUGUUAGCAUAAAUAUCUAGCUUUUAUCAUGUUGAGACUCCUUAAUAAAUAUUACUCCCUGUUUUUAUAUUUCUAUUUUUAUUAGAGUAGAAAAAUAAUUAUUUUAUUUUUAUGCCACCACAGUGAAUGUACUUAUGGGUUUUAUGCCACUCGUAUACUCACACGGGGCUUACUGUUUUUCACACAUUUUUUUAUUUUCUUUUGAAGAUAGUAUGAACUUAAUUAACUAAGUAAACUAGUUGAAAUAAUUGAAAGGGAAAGGAUAACUACCAAGUUUACCUCUUGGCAAGACGUUCGGUGUUUUUAAGUCCUCCGAAUGGGACUCUCCAUUUUCUCAAUCGUCCUGAGAUUCGUUGGGUGGCGGAGUCGUCACUUCCGGCGGCGCCUCCUCUUCAUGUAUAGUUAUCUUCAUUUUCCACACCUGACUUGGUGCUUCCGUCUCCUCUGGAUAAUUCUGUUUAAACUCUACGUCUUCUGAUCUUACAACUUCUCCUUCAUAGUCUGCCCAUCCGUCCAUGAUGAUCUGCCUCCUCUGGUUGCGGUUGCGUCGCUUUCUUACCUGCUUAGAUUCUUCAAUGAUAUAGUUAGGGUCAGUAAAAUAACGGCGUACCUUCUGUGAGGGGAAGUGCAUAUGGACUUCUAUGGUUCCAAUAUAGAUAAUUGCUUUAACGGUGCUGAGGAACGGUCUUCCAGGGAUGAUGGGUGGAUCAUACUCAUCUUCUCCAAUGUCAAUAACUUGAAAGUCUGUGUAGACAAAGUGAUCGUCUAUUUUGACUGGGACAUCAGUUACUGUUCCUUUAACUUCUCAAAAUGUCUGAUCUGCCAUCUGGAGCUAAAUGUAUGUUGGUCUUAGGGGCAUGGUUCCGAACAAGAGCCGAUAGGUGACUGCGGCCAUUAUGUUGACGCCCGAUCCGGUAUCACAAAACGUCUUGUAGAAGUUGUAUCCAUUUAUUGAGCAAUAGAUGCUUGGCAUUCCUGGGUCGUCCUUCUUGGUCAAAAGCGGUGACUUAAGGUGGUGAUCUUGGCCUCCAUGAACUACAGUGACCAUCUUAGCUGACUCGGUCCACACUUGCUUGUUCCUGUUCCUCCUGUUGGUCCUCUUCCUUGACUCACGUCUGGAUUGAUUUGGAAUUUGUGUAGUCUUGUUCUUAAAGAAAAAUGUCUCCUUCUUCCCUUUGAUGUAGAAACUGAUCUUGGCAGCACUGGCGUAGAUGAUAGCUCCCGUGGUGUUUAAGAAUGGCCUCCCUAGGAUGAUAGGUGCCCUCUCAUCAUUUCCGGUCUCUACCACUACGAAGUUUGCUGGGGCAUAUAAGGUACCAACUCGGACACAAAGAUUCCUCAAUAUUCCUUUUGGAAAAGUUAUCGUCUGAUCUGCAAACUGCAAACACAUGGUUGUUUCUAAUAAAGGAUAUGUAAAGAAUUUUUCAUAGAGUACCCUAGGUAUAAUGUUGACACUAGAGCCAAAGUCGCAGAGUGCUUCUGGAACGUACACCAUGCCAAUGGAGAUCGGGAUGACGGGGCGUCCUGGAUCUCCUCUCUUGACCGGCAGAAGGUCAGUAGAGAAUUCAGUGACGGGGUUACUCCAAUUACCUGCAUCAAACAUGUCUACAAGAUUUGCAGAUUCUAAUCCUUCUGGUUGUGAUGGUAUACCGGGGUUAGUAGUAGGAACAGCAGCAGCUAUUUGAUUUAACUGAGAUUCAAUCAUUUUAUUAAAGCUAAUUUGAUUCUUGAUGGCAGUAGAAAAAUUAUCCAUUCUAUUAUUUAUAUUUUCUAGCAUUUUAUCAUUAGAUGCCAAUUUCUUAGAUAGGUUAUCCAUUAGCUUUCCUUGAUUAGACACUAACUCUCUCAAAGGUGGAAAAUUAUUAUUAUUGUUGUAGAAACUGUUACCUUGAUAAUUACCUGAGUAGUUAGGCCUCUGUUGAUUCCAACCUUGAUUUUGUUGAGGACGGUUGUAGUAGUUGUUGUUGUUGUUGAUGUAGUUCACAUCCUCAAGUAUCUCAGGGCAGUGGUUGCCUGAGUGUCCAGUAUCUCCACACUUCUCACAAGUCAUGUGAGAGUCGUAGAUGUGCAUAACUUCCUUCUUGUCUCCGGCUCUAUCAUCGAGCUUCUUCAUGAGCAGGUCUAGCUUUGCAGACAGCAUGUCUACCUCCUUCAGCUGAUGCAUACCUCCACCUCUCUUGCGUGUCUGGGUCCUCUCUUCAUUCCAGCUUUGGUUGGACGCCAUCUUCUCCACAAGAGCUGUGGCUUGUGGUAUAGUAAGUGAUAAGAAUGCUCCUCCAGCUGCAGCAUCCAUAGUCUCUCGGGCACUGUUGCCGAGCCCAUGAUAAAACGUCUCCAUCAAUAGCCAACUCUCCAUUCCAUGAUGGGGACAUUCUAGGAUGUAGUCUUGAAAGCGCUCCCAUGCUUCUGGAACAGAUUCAUCAUUUUGUUGCUGAAAACUUGUAAUCUUCCCACGGAGAGCAUUGGUCUUGCCUAUGGGAAAGAACUUUGCAAGGAAGUUUGUUGAGUAGAGUGCCCACGUAGUAUUCUUCUCCUUUGUAGCGUAGAACCACUGCUUCGCUCUUCCUAACAGUGAGAAUGGGAAGAGGCGAAGUAGUAUAGCAUCUUUGGAAACUCCUGAUAUGGUGAAUGUGUUGCAAAUCUCCAAGAAGUGUUGUAAAUGAGCACUAGCAUCUUCAUGUGCCUUCCCACAGAACUGGUUGGAUUGCACCAUGUUGAUAAGUCCAGGCUUGAGCUCAAAGUUGCCGUCGAUCUCUGCAGCAGGUCCAGUGCGGAUGUUGUCCGUAGUGGGAGCUAAGAACUCGCGGAUUGAUUUGUUUGCCAUGGCUUCGAACUCUGAAGACAAGUUCCGGUGAUCUUCUUGAUUGGAUGAAGCUUCUUGCUGAAGUGUUGAUGAUCUCUUCUUGAGCUUGGCUCUCGUCUUCUUGAAUAAUGCUUCGAGAUUGUCAACAAAAUUUCCUGGAAGAUGUCUUCUAUUCAUACAUUCCCCUGCAUAAGAUAAAAUAGAAAAAUAUCGGGGUAAAACUGUAUGAGAGAAUAGAUAAGCUCAAUCAUAUUAGUGAUGCGAAUGAUAACUCAAAAUCUUUUAUUCUAUUCCUGAUUGGUAAUCAACCUUCCCCGGCAACGGCGCCAAAAAUGCUUGUUGGGUAUUCUUAACAUCAUUACCAAAAGUAGACUAAGUUCUCUAAAUCUAGUAACGGUGCCAAAAAUGCCAAACCUAUCCCUCACACCACUUAAGCCAAGUUGUCAUCCCCAGCAUGAUAUGGAUCUGCAAGCGCACAGAUUAAUACCGAUGUAGCAUUUUAACCGGGAAGUAUUGCAGGUAUCGUUAUUUAUAUUUUUACCACUGGGAAGCGAUUAGCAAUCAUUACUAUUGAUUACAGAAUAGAAUAUGAGAUUGAGCAUCUAUCAUUGCAUGUAUAAUUGAGAACAUUUAUCGAACUCUUCAUACAGGGAUAAGUGUCACAUAAAAGAUAUAUGAAAUAAUGAAUAGUGACAAGGAUAACUAAUCUGAUCUAGCCACAUAAUAAAUAUGAUAAGCACCUCAAUUAGAUACUCUAGAAAGUUAUUAACAUGGUAUUAGAACGAACUACAAGAAUAUUCCCUAAGUUAUUCUUAACUAUAUAGUCUAGCAUUAUCAUAAUUAGUGCAAGCAUACUUAGCAAUCAUUGCGAGACCAGACUACGCCCAUGCAUAGUGAUAUUAGCAAGGUAAAUGAGAAACAUAGCAAUCACUCCCCUGUAAUAAUGUUGCUCUGCCAGCCCAAUACACGAGAGGGGGACUAUAUAAGAAUCAAUGAAGCUGUCACUAUCAUGAACCACCCCACGAUCUGGCAUNNNNNNNNNNNNNNNNNNNNNNNNNNNNNNNNNNNNNNNNNNNNNNNNNNNNNNNNNNNNNNNNNNNNNNNNNNNNNNNNNNNNNNNNNNNNNNNNNNNNGGUGGCUCUAAUCUUGAUCAGAGGCUUCUUCUCCCUUGAAGAACAAUGAAUUAGGGUUGAGAGGCUCUCUCCUCCAGGGGCCAGGGGGUCUGGUUUUAUAGUCCCUCCAAGUGAAUAUGGGCCAUUGGAUUGUAUGGUUUAGAUUCAUCCUUUAGGUCGGUGGAGAUCUCCCGCAAAGCAGAGUCCUGAUUGGACUCAGAGGCAGGGCGGGCGCCCUAACCAACUGGGCGGGCGCCCAGGGUCAGGCCCCGUUUCGCCUCCGCUUCGGUCUCGUGGCUUCUGGAGUCUUCUAGAUGUAAGAUAAUUGCGCGGUACGUUAAUAUCUCUAUGUAAUCCCGAUGUGUGGGCCUUUCUUCCGUAUUUCCUGAUAACCCACUACAGAAAUAGACAAACACCAAAACUCGUGAAAUUCUGUCAGAUAAAACCCUAAGUCUAGAUCUUGAUUUCAUUUGGAUCCUUUUCUUUAUUUAUUUGAUAAUUAAAUUUGAUACUUAAGGACCGUCAACACAUAGCUCCAUAGCCCAUUUUAUGAUUCUGCCAUUGGCGUCCUUAUUGCGCAAGAUGUCCCCCAAUGGAAAGCUUGUAGUUACUAUGACGCGAUGGCCGUCGAAGUAAUGCUUUAACUUCCUGGAAGUGAUUAGAAUGGCAUAGAUUAACUUUUGUAUCUGGGGGUACCUAGUCUUGGACUCGUUUAGGACUUCGCUUAUGAAGUUUGCUGGUCGCUGGACUUUGUAGGCAUGGUCCGGUUCCUCCCACUCCACUACAAGCACUGUGGAGACGACUGGGUCAGUUGCCGCAAUGUAGAGGAGUAGAUCCUCAUUAGGUUGAGGCGUAGUGAGGACACAAGGUGAAGUGAGGAAAGUCUUGAGCUGUGCAAAUGCAGCGUCGGCUUCCUCUGUCCAGGAGAAUUUUUCGGAUGCUUUUAGUACUUUGAAGAAGGGGAGCCCUUUCUCUCCCAGUCUAGAAAUGAACCGGCUAAGGGCAGCCAUGCAUCCUAUGAGUUUCUCGAUGUCUUUUACAUUUCUAGGUGGUCACAUGUCGAGCACCGCCCUGUAACACCCGGCCCAGGGCUUAAUAGGAUUAAUAGGAGACUCAUACCAACAAGUUGCAACUUCUUUUCCGGAAGCCCAUCUCCAAAGAACUCUAAAGUUAAGCGUGCUUGGCCUAGAUAAAUUUAGGGAUGGGUGACCGAUCGGGAAGUACUUCUCGGGUGCGCAUGAGUGAGGACAAAGUGUGCAGAAAAGACUAGUGUUGGUCUGUGGGGGCUGACUAUGUCCUAGAAAAGCUGCCAGAUGUAAGCGGACCCGGCCUCGUGGAGGCGGGACGUUACAGAAUGGUAUCAGAGCCGACCCCCGUGGUUUCACGGGCGCGUGUGUCGCAGUUGCGCAGGCAUGGUGUGCAUGGCUGGUGUGGACCCAGAGUGGUCACACAGCAUGGCACAUGCGCUGGCACUUGAUGCACGGACGUGGCCAAGAGGGGACGUUCCUGGCUUGGGGUGGAUCGACCAGGACGUCAAUCUCUUAAGGGGGUGAGGUUGUAACACCCGGCCCAGGGCUUAAUAGGAUUAAUAGGAGACUCAUACCAACAAGUUGCAAUUUCUUUUCCGGAAGCCCAUCUCCAAAGAACUCUAAAGUUAAGCGUGCUUGGCCUAGAGAAAUUUAGGGAUGGGUGACCGACCGGGAAGUACUUCUCGGGUGCGCAUAAGUGAGGACAAAGUGUGUAGAAAAGACUAGUGUUGGUUUGUGGGGGCUGACUAUGUCCUAGAAAAGCUGCCAGAUGUAAGCGGACCCGGCCUCGUGGAGGCGGGACGUCACACACCCUAACUUUUGUGGGGUUUGGUCGUAUGCCAUCGCGACUGACGACAUUACCGAGCAGUAUGCCAGAGGGGACCCCAAAGAUGCACUUUAUGGGGUUAAGCUUCCAUUUGUAUUUGUUUAGCGCUUUAAAGGUGCGGUCUAAGUGGUCGAUCAGAGUGCUAGCAUCUCUGGUUUUGAUGACAACGUCAUCGACAUAGGCCUCGACAAGGUCGUCAUGUAUCUCGUCGUGGAGACAUUGCUGAAUAGCGUGUUGGUAAGUGGCUCCGGCAUUUUUUAGUCCGAAGGACAUGGUUGUGUAGCAGUAUGCUCCGAAAGGAGUGAUGAAAGAAGUUUUAAUUUGAUCGUCUUCCUUUAGUGAGAUCUGGUGAUAACUAGAGUAACAAUCAAGAAAAGAGAGUAAUUCGCAUCCGACCGUUGAAUCGACGACCUCGUCUAUGCGGGGGAGACCAAAAGGAUCUUUAGGACAGUGUUUAUUGAGAUCGGUGUAAUCAACCCACAUUCUCCAUUCAUUAUUCAUUUUCCUUACAAGGACUGGAUUGGUGAGCCAAUCAGAAUGAUACACUUCUUUAAUAAACCCGGCUGCUAAAAGCCGUGUAACUUUUGUCCUAAUAGCCUCCUUUUUGUCAUGAGAGAACCGUCGUAGCUUCUGCUUGAUUGGCCUUGCGGCCUUCGAGAUUUUUAAGGAGUUCUUGAUCAGGCUUCAUGGGACACCGGGCAUGUCUCUAGGUUUCCAUGCAAAAACGCUUACAUUGUCCCUUAGAAACCUGACGAGCGCGUCUUCCUAUUUGGCGUCCAAAUUGGCUCUGAUGAGAGCCGUUUUCUCUAGAUCACCGUCGAUUAGCUAGACCUCCUUGUGUUGCCUGGACUUGACGCUCUUUCUUGGGGUCUGCUGUUUGGGUAUCUUGAGCUGGUCGGAUGAAGCUUGUGCUGCUUGGGACACGGUUUCUGCCAUCCAAAUCGAGAGGUCUAUUGCUUCGGUGAUCUUGAAGCUUUCCUCCUAGCAGGUGUAUGUUGUGUAAACUUGCCCCUGAUGGUCAAGAUGCCCUUCUCGGUUGGCAUCUUGAGGACCAAGUAUGAGUAGUGUGGAACUGCCAUAAACUUGGUGAGAGAAGGGUGGCCUAAGAUGGCAUGGUAAGUUCCGUCGAAGUUGGUGACCACAAAGUUCACAAACUCUAUGCGAAAGUGGUCUGGCGUUCUAAACUGCACGGGCAACAUUAUUUGGCCAAGAGGUAUGGAGCUUUGGCCAGGUAGAACACCCUAGAACUGGGCUUCAUAUGGUUUUAGCUGCGCCGGGGUUAGCUUGAGAGCAGGCAAGCUGUUGUGAAACAGGAUGUCGAUGGAGGUGCCGCCGUCCACGACCACGCGCUCGAAUCUGACGCUGUUGAUGCACGGGUCCAGGAUUAACGGGAAACGUCCUGGGUCUGUGAUGGCGACCCAUUUGUCUUGUCUACUGAAGGAUAUCUCCCGGUGCGACCAGGCUGGGAACUUGGGGUCGAUGAUCAAUCCGUUAGAGCUAUCCACAUUCAGGCAGGCCCUUUUGAGAAGUUUCCUUUCUCGCUUUGAUUCGAUCGAAACCUUCCCUCCAAAGAUGGAGUGGACUACGUCAGUUGGAUUGACGUAUUGAUGCCAUGGGCCCCUGUCCUGGUCAUCGUCUUCAUCCUCUUGGUUGCGCCUGUCAUGUUUCUAGGCAGUUUUGGCGACGUCGCCCUGAGUAGCCCGCUGCGUGUAGAUGCUCUUGAGGACACGACGUUCUUUCAUCGUGUGGUUAGACUUGGGAUGAAGUUUGCACGGUCCUUUCAAGGUCUUGUUGUAGUCUUCCUGAUAGUCUCGUCGUCCAUUGGAGCGCUUGACUGUAUUCACCUUGUGAUCGUUGUCGCGAGGUCGCUUUCCUCUAAAGUCAUCGCGGUUGUCGCAACACCUAUCCCACCCUUCUCGGUGGUCGCGGUUAUCACCACGCCUGUCAUAGAACUGACCAAAUUAUAAGAGUUCAAGUGUAGAAACGAUCGAUCUAGUAAUCAAGUAUCCAGACUUGAGCCCAUAUAAUCCUGGUAGUCAACCGAAGUCACGAAGGACUUCAAACCAACUUUGCAACAUACCAAGAUCAUAAUAGUUCAACACAAUACAGUGAAUGUUACAUAGUUCAUUCAUUGCCGAUGAAGCGGCACCACAUCGGAGUACUUAGUUAUUACAACACAACUUCAAAGUAGCAGAAGCAACAUACUUUUCACACACACAUUUCAUAAGUUCUUGUUACUACAAGAGUCUCAUCAUCGACCAAAAGCAUCAGGGUACGAAGUCGUUAGAGAACCGCGCCCAACAGUUUAGUCUUCAUGCCCAGCAGGAUGGAGACAGGUCUUGCAGAAGCCAUCAUAGAAGAUAUUAUCUGCAACAGGUGGGAAUAAACCCUGAGUACAGGGAUGUACUCAGCUAGACAUACCCGUCUAACCAAACAUAAAAGACACCAAGGAUCAUGCAAGGCUGAGUAUAAAGUGUAGCUGGCUUGACUCAAACAUUUGCCAAAAGCUUAGGUUGUAUAGAAAACCAUUUAUUAAAGCAUCAUAUUGCUUAUCAUUAGCCUACCACUAGAUUAGCACCUAUACUAAGCACUUCACUUGAUUAUUAGCAAACAAUAAUAACCAUAUCAAGUUUCAUCAUAUGUUCCUUCUUGCUAUCUUCAACAUCAUCAUUAAGAACAAUAGUAUUUAGUGAAUGCUGCGUUUGCUGCUACUCUGUCAAGUUCUCACUAUCCGGGAGAGACGGCGAUUCGAAUCGAUUCCUAUCCAGCUGGAGGGUUAUUCCUAGCACUCACCAAUGCAUCCCCCGUCGGAGAGCAAUCGGGUCACCUUUGGUACGACUCAGGAAUCGUGGCUCCGAUCAGCGCCGCACUCCCAGGGCUACCACUCUAUCAGGGAGGUCAGGACUUUUAACUCACCUGCCUUUGGUCUUACACCAAUGCCCCCCCACACACCGCACUUCCUUCGGUAGUGCACACUUUAUACUUGUCGGUCUUCCGGCCUGAGUCAUACUACUAGGCUUCGCGGUCGGAACUAGUUAUCCUGCCAACUAAGUGUCAGGCAUGCGUUCAACAUGACAAGAGGACAUACAACGGUCGGUCCUUAGCUUCCACAGAUGGAGUUACUACCACCUUGCAAAACUCUGCCCGCUGGCUGGGCCUCCACCUCCUGAGUGAUCUCCGGAACUUCGUUGAUCACCCUCUCGAGCUCGAACGAGGCUGCCGCUUCCGAUGCACCUAUUGCAUGUACGAUAAGUAAGGAAUGUGUGCACACUAGAUGAUGAUGAAUGCUUGGUAACAUGAUUAGAAACUUUACUGGACACUCAUUUAUGGAGUAUCUCCCAUUAAAAGCUCACGAAAGAGUACCAACUCAACUAACAAGAACACACCGGCUUAAACCAUUAAGCAGCAACAAUUAAAUACAGAGCAGCUCAAAGAACAAUUCAUAACUAAAGCUAUACAGAUCCAACAAAUAUGAAUGAGGAUAUUCUGGAAAGCUUAUGAAAUUGUUUCCAUUUCAUCAUUAGACAACACAGCAAGAUUCAUAAGUUAAAUAGGUCAACUAAACAAAGUUCCAGGUUCUGUUCCAGAAAAACAGAGAGCACCUAGUUCUGGAACUCAACUUGGAAGAGCCAUAGCUUUUAAACUACUAAACCAAAUGAUCCCAAAUUUAAACAGCAGCUAGCAUACAAAGUUUACAACAAUUUUGAUAUAGACAAGUCUUUCAGAAAACAAAGUUAUCAUUAGACAAAAUCAGAUUACUACCUUGCUGUCCAGAACAGCUAUAAAACCUUUAAUUAAUUAUUUGACGACAUAGCAAGAACAUAUUUAGUACCAACCAAGUGGCUUAUAAGCACAAGCAUAACCUAAGAUUACCAGAAAACCACAUGUUGACUACCAAACACUUAACAACAAGGCAUUUAUUAAUUUAAUUCCAUAAAAGGGCAUAAUUACAAUAUACCAGCAAGGGUGCUCAGAAAAUCUACAACAAUUACAGAAGCACAAGCAUGGCACCUGGACAUUACCAUAAAAUUUUCAGAGCAAUUGCACAUGCCAAACUUAAGAUAAUUAAUUAACAUGUAACAAGGUGCUUAUUUCAUAAAUUAAGAAACAUGGCUUAGAUAGUGUCAAACAACAGAUUUCAGAUUAUUUACAUGUUACUACUACUAUGAACAAGCUUGACACCAAAGGAGAACACCAGCAUAAGCAUAUAACAUUUAAUAUGAUUUAAACAUGAAAUUAGGCCAUAGUAUUAACAUAAAUUACAUAUCGGAGAUACAGCACCCCAAAAUACAUGAACUAUUUAUCAGAGCAUUCUAAUACUACCUAGAGCAUAGCAUAAAAAGUUCAUAGCAAUUGGAGCAGUAUAUCGAAAGAUAUGAAUUUACAUAUAAUUAAAAAGAUUAAUUCAUAACAAUUCUUUUUCACAGAAACAUGGUGCAUAUUAUAUGUUUAUUAAAAACUAGCCAUCCCAUGGAUCAUCACAAAAUUUGUUUCACAACUUUUGGAGCUCAGAAAAAAGAUAUGAUUUUUGCAAGAUUGCAAGAAAUCUAGAUUUUAAAUAAAAGAGAGGAGGGAGCCGUUGUGCCACUGACAGUGGGACCCGUGUGUCAGCGUCACCAGAAAUAGAGGACACACUCGCCGACGAAUGCUCGCCGAUGGUGAGCUUCUCCGGUGGAUCCAAGGGCAUCAGCGUGCUCCUUGAGUCAUUCCGCGUCGAUAGAGGUAGGUGGCUCUAGGGUUGGAGCGACGGAAGGAGGUCGCUGUCGGCCAUGGCGGCACGACGGAGCUACCUCGGCUUACGCCGGCCAUCUCCGACCAGUGGAGCAUCGAGGAAGGGUGGUUUAAGCAUCAGUGAGACAGCGCGGAGCUUUCUAGGUAGAAAGGCCUAACCCUAACGACUCCGGUAAGUCUGCUCACGUGCGGGGUGGUCGUCGGCGGUGAGCGCGGCGGUGCGGUGGCUGUGUUCCCGCACGACGGUCUAACUAGGGCCAGAAUGGCGUGGCACAGACCACGACUGUGACCUAGACAAGCUCUAACAUGACUCAAAGAGAAAAAAGGAGGCAGGGAUGGAGCAGCGGUGAGGUUCGACGGAAUCUGGGUCGCGACGGCCGUGAACCCGACGACGGCAAUCCUACGAAAUGCGGCUCACCUCAGGGAGAUCUCAGCCAGCCAAGAGGUGGAGAAGAUGGAGGAGCUCGAGGCAGACUCGGAGACUCUCGGAGAAGAGGUGAGACGUGAAGGCGAGGACGCGAGGAGCUCGCGAAGCUCUCGGCGGCAAUGGCAAUGGUGUUUUCGCUGUCGGAGUCGCGAGAGAUAGGGAGGUAGAUAGUGGAUGGGCGUUGGGCGAGUGCGGGGUGGCGUGGCGUCCAUGACGGCAUUGAUGACCUAACGAGUGGGGCCAACACUGGCGUACGGGCGCCAAAUGGCAGCCAGGUGCUGCGCCUGGUCAGCCACGACGGCGAGGACGACGCCUAUUCAGAGUUCGCGUUGCUGACUGACAGAGCUACUUUGGCGCUAAUUAUCUUCCAAACCGUGGCGAAUUUGGAGAUGGUGUAGUUGACAUUCUUGGAGUACUAGGUGAGUUCUACAAGUUUGUCAACUGGAGCAAAGACCAAUUCGGCUUGGAUGAGGAGAUAUGAAGCUCCUAAAAACGAACAGGCAAACUGGUGGCGCCAGGACUUAGCAAAAUUUUGCUAAGUGCCAAAACAGCCCCUAAAUCUGCCUUGAAGCACUUUUUGAGGAAGUUGUGAUCAUUUUCAUGAGAUGGCCAUGAAACAACUUUUGUUCCUUAUAAAAUUUUCUACAACGUUGCUUUAGGAUGUUUUGACAUGCAAACAUUUUAUGAACCACUUUUUAAAAGCCUAAGCAAAAGAGAUUCAUAUGGCCUAUGAGUGAAAUUAUGACUUAGAGACAUAAUUUGGGGAUGUGACCAACGUGAACAUUGUUCAAAAAGUUGUGUUAAGCAUAGGUGAACUAUUUACCAAGGCAUAGAACACAAACAAGAGCAUGGUACAAAUAAACAUAAGCAUAGGAUGCAUAAUCAAACAAGUUAAAUCAUACUUAUGCAUAAAAUGACAUGACCCAAGGUAAAUAAUGAUCAUAGUAUGCUUAUGAAGAUGAUGAUGCUCAUGUUAUGCAUGUGAAAGGAUGCAACCAUAACACUGUGGUGUUACAAUGCCGAGGGUUUCGGUUGUCGAAACGUCCAUGGCUGUCGUCCCGUCGGGGAGGCUGCUCGGUUCCUCGGACGUCCUCUCUCAUGAGCUUUUCUAUGUCGUCAGCAUCGGCAUAAUUUUUGGCCGUAGCGAGGAGUUCAGCGACCGUGGUCGGCCUCUUACGUAGUAGCUUGCAUCUCCGAGCUUCGUGAAAGCGGAGGCCUUUGAUGAAAGCCGAAAUAGCCUCGUCAUCGGAGAUCUUUGGAAUCUUGAGGCGCAUAUUCGAGAAGCGUCGGAUGUAAUCGGGGCAAGGGCUCGUUUUUUCGGUCCCUUAUACUCUCAAGAUCAUAUUUAUUUCCCGGCUGCUCGCAGAUAGUGAUGAAGUUGUCGAUGAAUGCCUACCGCAGUUCCUCCCAUGAGUCAAAUGAGUCUUCAGGCAAGCCGAGGAGCCAUUGGUGACCAGCUUGGUCGAGGACGACUGAGAAAUAAUUUGCCAUGACAUGCUCGUCCCCUAUUGCUGACUGGACCACGAUCUCGUAGACGGUGAUCCAGUUCUCGAGGUUUUCCUUACCGUCGUACUUUUUGAGCUUCUCGAGCUUGAAAUUGUGUGGCCAGACGACUUGCCGGAGAUGCGAGGAGAACUGUUUUAGACCAGGAGAGCCGUGAGCGGCAUCGUACUCGAUGCGGCACACGUUUUUGUGUGCCACUCUAUCAUUGGUGCAUGUGUUGAUGCGCUCGCAGGCGUCCUUGUUAGAGAUGUUCUGCCGAAGAUCAUGGUUUCUUCCCUGGUCUACCUCCUGGUCAUGUCUGCGUCUUUGCUCGCGGUUGCGGCUGGAGUCCCAACCACGAUCGUUACGAUGGGUUUCCUUCCUACGGUCAUCGAUGGGUGAAUGGCUGUGACAAUGCCCGCCGGGUCAUGGUGAGGCCCUGCUAUGAUGGGUCUGGUCGGAGGUGACCUCCGUGUAGGAGAUGGCUUGGACCCUUCUAAGGAGAUCUACGGUCUGUCCCAUUGCAGCAAUUAAGUGCGCCCGUAUGUUGGUCCGAACACCCUAGUAUUCUGGGUGUCUGGGAGUCGGUCGAGGUUUGCCAUGGCGACAGCCACAUUAGCGCUUGGUGUCUUGAAUACUUGCUGAUUUCCAACCAUGUCGAAGGCAUCAUCAAGGUUAUUCAGGAUCAGCUGCCGCUGCUCCUCAUCUCCUCAUCGCUGAGCACGGUCGGCGUUGCACUGCUCGUGCUGCUGCCUUUGCUUGUCAGUUUCUCUGUCGAUGACCGGUUCAUCGUUGGUGACAUUGAAAACCAAGUCUCCACGUCGAGGUGGAAAAACCGGGAGGCGGGAAAAACCCGGGGGGUAAGGCGGGAGAUCCAAGUCAUAAACUUCGUCCUCAGGGCGUAGAACCUCGGUAGGGACAGAGCAUGUACAUGAGUUUGUGCUGGUGGUGUUGUCUUCCGGCAAAGUACGGAUAGAGACCAUAUUGACGAACUGGCGAGUGUUGGCAGUCAUUAUAGACCAAUUAUAAACUACCAACUUGAUUCAAAAGGAGAAGAAGCAAUCAUAUUAUAUACACACAUGCAUUUUAUUACUAACAAGUUCCACUUGUACCAUAGUGAUUAUAUUUUUGAAAGAAUUAUAGUGCAACAAGUGAAAAUGUGCCUUACCACGAAGAAAGCGCAAAGUACCAAAACACGUAUUCAAAAAUGCGCAAACCAAGAAAAUAGAGAAAGGCCCGAACAACGCAGAACUCGGCCUGAUUGUAACCACGGCAGAGAUCUAGGACUAGAGCCAAACCGACCAUGGAAGGCGGUGGACAGGGGGACCCACUCAAUGUGCCGCCGCACCCUGGUGGGGGCGCACCCCUAGAGGCGGCAAACCGGGCCCAUCUUUCUUAGGCGGUUGCAUGCCGCGUGCAUAGGAAGGUUUCAUCUACUACCAAAUUUAGAUGCGACGAACCGUCCUAGUUCCACUAUAAAAAGAGAGGCACUCCCCCCUUUUCAACACACACAUCAUUUAGAGUCAAUUUACCUCACACCUCUCACUUAUAUCUUUUGUCUAGAUUAGUAGUAGAGCAAGGCAAGUGCUAGCAAGGAGAGCUUGUCUCCUUGGAAGAAAGGAUCUUCUUAGUAUGAAUAAUAUUCAAGCUUCUUCCAUGAGCAAGUUCUAUUCAUCUUUAUAUAAUUAUGUAUAUGAAUGUCGACGAAAGCUAGUCGGUAGUCUACCUUGGGGUAUACCCACGGUAGUAGUUUAUCGGUAGACGGUGCGCAAACUACGAACUCGAUGGUGACGCAAGACACGGACAAGCUUUUUAUCCAGGUUCGGCCGCCGAGUUGGCGUAAUACCUACGUCCUGCGUCUGGUUGUAUUGGAUUGUGUUGAGAGAUAAUCUGUCCUAGGGGGGGUCCCUUGCCCCUCCUUAUAUAGUCUGGAGGGCAGGGUUACAGAUCUAGAAACUAAUCCUAGUCGGUUACAAUUGCCAUGGAUAAUUCGAUAUCAAUUCCUAUUCUAACCGACUAGAAUCCUGCUUGAUCUCCACAUCUUGUUUCCUUGCGCAAAACUCUAAGCUGUCGAAUCAAGCCUUGAACUCGUCUCGUAAUGGGCCAAGCCUCCUGGCCCAAGUCUAGCCGUAAGGGUAUAGGGGUUUAUACCCCCACAGUUAGUCCCCGAGCACCAUGUAUUGUGAUGUAACACGCCGUCUUGAGCUUCUUCGAUCAGUGAGGCUUGACGUCUUUAGGAAAGUUGCCCGAACAGUUGCAACGGUAUUUUGACCAACUCAAAAGACAGUUGAUCAACAUUGACAUCGAAGAAGCAGGUUGUUCGAAGAAUGCAUGGUGCUCUAAAUUAAAAAAGAUUUCUUUCCUGGUGAAGUGUGCCCACUUUACUUUUUUGUAAGGUAUUAUUCUCAAAAAAGCAAGCAUAUUCACCGCAAGGUGAAGUGUGCCCACUUAGUCCCCGAGCCUGGUAGUAGAUGACGUAGGCACGUGGUGCCAGGGUUAAAAGAAAAGUCCUCAAAGAAAUUCUGUAACUGAGAUGCAUCGCCAGAUGCAUCGUACCGAUGUAGUCCCCGAGCUUGCUGUAAGGCGAAGUAUGAGCCUUGUAGCAAGGUCUAAAAAAUUGAAAGUACCAGUCCGUCUGCAGUUGAAUAGACUAAUCGACCAGUCCCCGGGUGUACAAAAGUAUGACAACCAGGCCCCAAGCACCAAGCGCACUCCUUAGAAUUCUGAGUUGCUAUAUUGGGCGACCAGUCCCCGGUCAUCGAGCGUUCAGUGGUCGCCGGAAUUUUCGAAGUUCCGGGCUGAUAGACAGGGCGACCAGUCCCCGAGCAUCAAGUGCUCGGUGGUCGGUGCAGUCCUUCACAUCCGAGUUAAUAGACUGGGCGACCAGUCCCCGAGCAUCAAGUGCUCGGUGGUCGGUGCAGUCCCCGAAUUCUCAAAUUUGUGGGCUGGUCGACCAGUCCCCGAGCGUAUAGUGCUCGGUGGUCGGUGCAGUCCCCAAGUUCUUAAAUUGGUGAGCUGGUCGACCAGUCCCCGAGCGUAUAGUGCUCGGUGGUCGGCACAGUCCCCGAGCACGGCGUAGGGACCGGUGGACAAGUCCCCGAGCGUGGUUGGGAACGUAAACGUGCUCGGUGGUCGGCACAGUCUUCGAGCACAGCAUAGAGAGUAGUCGACAAGUCUCCGAGCGUGGUUGGGAACGUAAACGUGCUCGGUGGUCGGAGCAGUCCCCGGGCACAGCGUAGGGAAUAGUCGACGAGUCCCCGAGCGUAGCUUGUCGACUGGGCCAAACCCCUAAAAAAUAAAUAUAAAGAAUAGGUAGUACAUGAUGUAUAAAUAAACUUUAGAUAAAAAUCAGUACUGAGAUAAGUUUUAGAUUUUUUGUUAUAAAAUUAGCACAAGUAGUUAAUUCAUCCUAGAGCUUGUACCAGCUCUGGUCUAGCCAACAAUCAGCAUGAGGUGCGGAACCUAGACACGCGUGGGAUUGUCAGCCUCGCCAGAGAGCUACUGCCGACCACCCGGAACGCAGAGGGCGGAUCUCGUGCACGUGUAGGGAGGAGUCGGAGACUGUACCGGCUCUGGAAAGCUCGUGUAGGAGAAAAAACUAGUGUGGCUAAACAAAAAGUUUUUUUGAAUGAUAAUAAAAAAUAUUAUGCCAAAAAUAAAUAAGAUAUUAGAAGUGUACUUAUCUUUGGAUGAAAGUCUAGUCGGUGACGACAAAAUUGUCCGGCCCUCGAGCUUUUCGACUUGUCAUGACGGUGGUCGCUGUUGUCGUAGCGUCGUUCUUCGCGGCGAUUAUUAUUGCGACUGGUGGUCAGAGCAAGUAGGCUAAACAAUUUGGUCGAUGGCCCGAGCAGGUCGGUGUUGUCGAUCUGCCUCUCUUUGUAGCAGGGAAGCGGGUGACGCGUUGUCGGCGUGGUCGGAGACGUUGCUGGAGUAGUCGGAGUCGUAGCCAGCGUGGUUGAAGCUGCCGCCGACGUCGAUGAAGAAGUGGUUGGCGCAGAUCGGAUCUACACCUCCUCCGUGGUCAUGGCGGUGAAGUUGUUGAAGCUGACGGUAAACGUGAAGUCGCCCGCCAUGUCCGCGAAGUCGGGGAUGAUGGCCAUCUUGUUCGUCGGGAGAGCUGUACGCACACCCCCUACCUGGCGCGCCACUGUCGACGAAAGCUAGUCGGCAGUCUACCUUGGGGUAUACCCACGGUAGUAGUUUAUCGGUAGACGGUGCGCAAACUACGAACUCGAUGGUGACGCAAGACACGGACAAGCUUUUUAUCCAGGUUCGGCCGCCGAGUUGGCGUAAUACCUACGUCCUGCGUCUGGUUGUAUUGGAUUGUGUUGAGAGAUAAUCUAUCCUAGGGGGGGUCCCUUGCCCCUCCUUAUAUAGUCUGGAGGGCAGGGUUACAGAUCUAUAAACUAAUCCUAGUCGGUUACAAUUGCCAUGGAUAAUUCGAUAUCAAUUCCUAUUCUAACCGACUAGAAUCCUGCUUGAUCUCCACAUCUUGUUUCCUUGCGCAAAACUCCAAGCUGUCGAAUCAAGCCUUGAACUCGUCUCGUAAUGGGCCAAGCCUCCUGGCCCAAGUCUAGCCGUAAGGGUAUAGGGGUUUAUACCCCCACAAUGAACUAGAGUAUAGUUGUGUUUUUAUCAUGUUCAUAGUAUAUGAAUGUCGAGGGUAUCAGUAAGGGGUAUCCCAACUGAUGUACAUAAUGAAAUCGCCCGUACGCAAGUCGAGGCCCCCAACUCGACGCUCUACCCAAUCACGCGUAUAAUCAUCGACGACCACAGCCUCGAAGACGGAAAGGGCGUCGAGCGAAUCGAUCAGGGCUCGAGCACCGACUACCAUCGAAUACGGAAACAGGCUCGAGCAAACCAGAAGGCGUCGAGCGCAAGGACGCCACCCGCCGCCUGACGCGCGCACGGGAAUCAGGGCAUUUAAUGCGCCUGUCCCGUUCUCACCUAACACGCCAGUCACGGGAAAUGUGAUGGGCGACAGGCACCCAUCCCAUCAUUCUUUUUGUAGCCUUCCCCACCAAAUAAUCCAGGACAUGUCAGAACGCAGGAAGCAGGGUCGGAACGUCUAAUCAAGACCCCCUCGAGACACCCAAGGUCAACACUCUGGAUAGCAAGGCGCUACACGACGUCUGACCCUCGACCAGACAUGUUUCCUUCCUGGGGAAGGGUGGGACGUCGAAUGACACCACUGCAACCACUCCGACGUAUCAGCCGUCGUGAAGUACAGGCGUGCAGCAGAUAAGCCAGUCCAAGACGGCACGCAGAGCAGGAUACAGGGGCACGCGUAAUCAUCAUCAGGCUACCAAGACGGGACGGCUCGAGACCACGCCGAUACGGAGGCCUCGAGUAGGUCAGCACGCCAUACCUCUAUCGACCCCUACUCUGAUGCCUAUACUUGUACCCUGGGCUCCUCCUUGGAACUAUAAAAGGGGAGACCCGGGAAGAGAUACAUAAGACAAGACAUCACGCAAUACACCACAAGACAACUCACAAGCCAUACGUAGUAGAGCUUCCAUACAUCAUCUCAUUCCAUACCACGCUUGUAUUCACCCCUGUACAAGCACUUAGGUGCAAGAUAAUACAAACUCUCCCUCCCCCGCUGGACGUAGGGCCUUCUCUUGCCCGAACCAGGAUAAAUCUUUGUGUCUUUUUGCUCCACCAUGUGGAAAAGGGAGCACGCAUACAAAUUCACUCCUUGAUGUGACCCCCCGUGGGGAAAACACCGACAGUUGGCGCGCCAGGUAGGGGUCCUGCGUGUUUUUUCACCGAUUUCCCAUUCUUUUCUAGAUGGCCACCCUUUCUUCACCGAUUCCACGCUCCACGGUGAUUUGGUUCGGGCGUCUCGAGUUCAUGUCUACUAGCUCCGGCUACGACAUGAUCUUGCUCUCAGUCAAAGGACCGGGAGGAGCCCGCGUUGCGCCAGCACGGACGGGGCCCCGAGACGCCUCGCCAUCACGCUUCCCCGCCCAAGAAGAGGCGUGGACAGCACCAUCGUCGCCUUUCUGCCUCGUCACGACCGACGGUUCGUGCCAGGCAGGAAGUGCCACAGGAGCCGACGACACCGUGCGCAGAAGCCGUGAGCACGACGACUUGGCACCGCGAGGAUCACAUGACAACGGGAGGCGACACGCCCCACGCGCUCUCCCCCACCGCUAGGUUACUGCCACACGGGUUGUUCGCCCCAAGAAGAGCAUUGCCGUUCGGCUUGGACAAUGCCGCGGCGUCGCUCGCCAGGACAAUAUGUCCAAACGCCCAGACAUACGUGGAAAGACCAAUGGUCCUCCCGCGCACCCCUAGAGCACAGCGACCGACGUCUGGGUUGCCGGAUUUCUCCCAGGUGCGAGGCCUCCGCCGCCUGGGCCCCGGGCGAUACACGAUUACCUCCCUCAGACAGCGACUACUGGAGGAAGGACGCGGAUGCUUCUACGCCACCGAACCGGACUCCGGCUCGGAAUCCGACAGCCACGACCCUACUAGGGAGUGCUUCCAUAUCGACGGAGUGGUGGAAACCACCGACGAGACACAAGACGCGGUUGCAGGCGGGCGAGCCCCUGCAGCAAGAGAAGACCCCAGGACACCUAGGAAUGAUGGUCAGGUCGACCCCCCUCCACAAGAUGACAGAGCCACGCAAAUUGCGCAUCUACGAGAGCUCAAGGCAAAGCUUGACGAGGAUCGCGAGUGCCUUGUCCUGCUUGAGCAAAUACUCGAGCAGGACCUGCCUACCCACCCGGCGGAAGUGUCCGCAGCGAGCUCGAGAAGUCCAUAGGCAGAUCGUCGGAGACGAAGAGCCUGAGCAACCCGUCAGCCACUUCCCUCGAGCAGGCCAGAACAUCGUGGCGGCAACAAUGUUGCUACGAAACAUGCCAGAGCCGUUGAACUCCCAAGCACGGCGCAUCCGAGACGAGGUGCAGACUCUGCUCCAGGUGGCAGCAGUUCAGCAGGCCGAAAGCUCGGCUUCUCGACGUCGAGAAGCAGCCACUGAGAAGUGCGACGAGCUAGCCCAAAACGAAAAGGAGGUGUCGGCCCAUCAGCAGCCACCCCCUCGAGGGAAAAAUACCACGCUCGUCCUCCCCAUCGACAACCAACGUCGACACGACGCGCGACGCGACAUCGACGAAAAUCGACACCGUCGGUAUGGGGACGCAGAGGAGCGCGGUUACAGCGCCCAUCGCGGCGGGAGAUACGACAACGAUGAGGACCGGAUGGCCCCAGAGCCACCGGGCCCAUGGGUGUUCAUCAGGGCAAUCCGCAGCACGCCGCUGCCCAGACCGUUUCGACCCCCGACCAGCAUUGCCAAGUAUAACGGUGAGACCAAGCCAGAGCUGUGGCUGGCAGAUUUCAGGCUGGCCUGUCAGUUAGGAGGCGCUCGAGGGGACGAUCGAGCCAUCAUCAGACAGCUGCCGCUCUUCCUCUCCGACACCGCUCGCAGGUGGCUCGAGGAGCUUGUAGCCGAUCAGAUCCACGACUGGGUCGAUUUGGUUAAAGUAUUUGAGGGUAACUUCAAAGAGACCUACAUAUGGCCUGAAAAUUCGUGGGAUCUCAGCAAGUGCAAGCAGAAGUCAGGAGAAACUCUUCGAGAGUACGCUCGACGCUUCUCGAAGCAACGCACCGAGCUGCCGCACAUCCCUGACCACAACGUCAUCCUGGCCUUUGUCUCUUGUACCACCAGUCGAGACUUGGUGUGGGAAUUAGGUCGGAAUCAUCCUCAGACUGUCGACGAGUUGAUGGACGUAGUGGCAAACUACGCUGCUGGGGAAGAAGCGGUGGGCGCCUUCUUCAGCUGUGAAGGAAGGAAAGGCAAGCCGCCCGCUGACGAGGACGAGGGCCACAGUCGAGGGCCCAACAAGAACAAGAAGAAGAAGAAAACACGCCCGUUCCAGCAGGAAGACCUCGAUGACGAUCUCGUUGCCGCCAUGGAACGCAAAAGGCCUCGAGGCCCGCCGGAGGCAGGCAUCUUCGACAAGAUGCUGAAGGAGCCAUGCCCUUACCACAAGGGGGGGGGCAAACCACAAGCUCGAGGACUGUCGUAUGCUGAAAAAGCAUUUCAACGGUCUGGGGUUCAAGAAGGACGCGCGCGAUGACCCAAAGAAAGAGAAAGGCGGCGACAAGGAGGACAACAAAGAUGACGACGGUUUCCCCGCCGUCCACAACUGCUACAUGAUCUAUGGCGGGCCCUCGACGCAGUUGACCGCAAGGCAGCGCAAGAGGGAAUGUCGUGAGGUCUUCGCGGCAAGAAUGGCGGUGCCCCAGUACCUCAGUUGGUCGAGCACCCCCAUCACCUUCGAUCGAGAGGACCAGCCCGACAAGGUAGUUGCCCCUGGUGUCUACCCGCUCGUCGUCGACCCCAUCAUCAUCAACACCUGGCUCUCAAAGGUGCUGAUGGACGGCGGCAGCAGCCUCAACAUCAUCUACCUCGAGACUCUCGACCUCCUCAGCAUCAACAGGGCGCAGCUCCAGCCAAGCGCCGGUGGAUUCCAUGGCGUCGUACCAGGGAAGAAGGCGUUGCCGGUGGGUCGAAUCGACCUGUCGGUCUGCUUUGGCACAGCGGCCAACUUCAGAAUGGAGACCCCCACCUUUGAGGUGGUGGGGUUCUGAGGCACGUACCACGCUUCAUCGGACGCUCGGGCUACGCCAAAUUCAUGGCUAUCCCCAACUAUACCUACUUGAAGCUGAAGAUGCCCGGUCCCAAGGGUGUCAUCACCGUCAGCUCCUCCUUCGAGCACGCGUACGAGUGCGACGUCGAAUGCGUCGAGUAUGGGGAGGCUGUCGAGAGUUCCACCGAGCUCGUCUCGAAGCUCGAGGCCCUGGCUGCUGAAGCUCCAGAGCCCAAGCGCCACGCGGGUAGCUUCGAGCCGGCGGAAGGAACCAAGAAGAUCCCGCUCGAUCCCAACAACUCCGACGGCAACGUGCUGAAAAUCAGCGCCGACCUCGAUCCCAAAUAGGAAGUCAUGCUCAUCGACUUUCUCCGUGCGGACGCCGACAUGUUUGCAUGGAGUCCCUCGGACAUGCCAGGCAUACCGAGGGAAGUCGCCGAGCACUCCUUGGAGAUUCGAGCCGGUUCCAAGCCAGUGAAGCAGCGGUUGCGCCGCUUCGACGAAGAGAAGCGCAAGAUCAUUGGCGAGGAAAUCCACAAGCUUUUGACGGCCGGAUUCAUCAAGGAGGUUCACCAUCCCGACUGGUUAGCAAAUCCUAUACUAGUUAAGAAAAAGAAUGGGAAAAUGAGGAUGUGUGUCGAUUAUACAAGUUUAAAUAAAGCAUGUCCGAAAGUUCCUUUUCCAUUACCACGUAUCGAUCAAAUCGUUGAUUCAACUGCGGGAUGUGAAACCCUUUCUUUUCUUGAUGCAUAUUCUGGAUACCAUCAAAUAAAAAUGAAAGAGUCCGACCAGCUCGCGACAUCUCUCAUCACACCUUUUGGGAUGUAUUGCUAUGUAACUAUGUCGUUCGGGCUUCAAAAUGCGGGAGCAACAUAUCAGCGCUGCAUGCUCCACGUGUUUGGCAAGCACAUAGGGUCGACGGUCGAGGCCUAUGUCGACGACAUCGUCGUCAAAUCAAAGCGGCGGGGGGAACCUGAUCUAGGACCUCGAGAUUGCUUUCAGCUGCUUACGCACCAACCAGAUCAAGCUCAACCCCGUGAAGUGCGUUUUCGGUGUGCCUCGAGGCAUGCUCCUGGGUUACAUUGUUUCCUAGCACGGCAUUGAGGCCAACCCCAAGAAAGUCUCAACCAUCACAAGAAUGGGGCCAAUCCAGGGCAUGCAGAGAGUCACGGGGUGCUUAGCGGCGCUGAGUCAUUUUAUCUCGAGGUUGGGAGAAAAAGCGUUGCCACUGUAUCAACUUCUGAAGAAAGUCGAGUGUUUCUCUUGGACUCCAGAAGCCGAAGAAGCCCUCGACAACUUGAAGAAAACGCUGACCUCUGUGCCAGUGCUAGUCCCGCCUCAACCCGCAGAACCUCUGCUUCUAUACGUCGCAUCGACGACCUAGGUCGUCAGUGCAGCAGUAGUGGUCGAGAGGCAGGAGGAGGGGCAUGCGCUGCCAAUCCAGAGGUCGGUCUAUUUCGUCAGCGAAGUACUCUCAGAGACCAAGGCGCGUUACCCACAAAUCCAGAAGCUAAUCUACUCCGUAAUCCUCGCCCGAUGCAAGCUGCAGCACUACUUCCUCGGCCACCCUAUCACGGUGGUCUCGUCUUUCCCCUUGGGUGAGAUCAUUCAAAGCUGGGAGGCCACGGGAAGAAUCGCCAAGUGGUCGGUCCAGCUCAUGAGCGAGACCCUCACCUAUGCGCCCCCAAAAGCUAUCAAGUCACAAGCCCUGGUGGAUUUCGUCGCAGAGUGGACGGACUCCCAACUCCCCCCGGCUCAGGUCCAGGCGCAGCUAUGGACGAUGUAUUUCGACGGGUCUCUCAUGAAAACAGGAGCUGGGGCGGGCCUGCUAGUCAUCUCGCCUCUGGGCAUUCAUAUGAGGUACGUCAUCAGGAUACAUUUCACCGCGUCCAACAAUGUUGCAGAGUACGAGGCCCUUGUCAACGGUCUGAAGAUCGCCAUCGAGCUUGGAGUUCAACGCCUCGACGUUCGAGGCGACUCCCAGCUCGUCAUCGACCAAGUGAUGAAGGCCUCUAACUGCCACGACCCGAAAAUGGAGGCAUACUGCAAGGAGGUCCGUCGACUCAAGGACAAGUUCCACGACCUUGAACUCGUCCACGUCGCCCGACGCUACAACGAGGCGGCCGACGAACUCGCCAAGAUCGCGUCGACUCGAGGCACGGUGCCACCUGACGCGUUCUCGAGAGAUCUUCACGAGCCAUCCGUCGACUUAGGCUCGGGGGCUGGUAUCGAAGCCGCUCCUGCCCAGCAGACCAACACUAUCGAAGUGCUACUAAUGGUAGCCGAGGUAAUGGAGGUGGAACAGCGGCCCAGUCGACCAUUUGAUUGGCGCACGCCGUUCCUCGACUGCCUAAUACGCUGCGAUCUACCAGAAGGUCGCUCCGAGGCCCGCCGAAUCGCUCGAUGGGCCAAGUCAUAUGUAAUCUAUGGCGAGGACAAUGAGCUAUAUCGACGAAGCCCGACGGGGGUCUUGCAGCGUUGCAUCACCAUAGAAGAAGGCCGAAAACUCCUCGAGGAUCUACACUCGGGGGCUUGUGGCCAUCAUGCUGCUCCACGAACCCUCGUAGGGAACGCCUUCCGAGAAGGCUUCUACUGGCCAACGGCCAUAGCAGACGCCAUCGAGCUCGUGCGCUCGUGCCACGGAUACCAGUUCUACGCCAAGCAGACACAUCUGCCCGCUCACGCUCUCCAGAUGAUCCCCAUCACGUGGCCAUUUGCGGUGUGGGGCCUCGACAUAGUGGGACCUCUAUAGAAGGCCAAAGGGGGAUACACCCACUUGCUGGUGGCCAUCGACAAAUUCUCCAAAUGGAUCGAGGCUCGACCCAUCACCAACAUCCGCUCCGAGUAGGCCGUCCUUUUCUUCACCGACAUCAUCCACCGGUUUGGGAUCCCCAAUGUCAUCAUCACCGACAACGGCACUCAAUUCACCGGCAGAAAGUUCUUGGACUUCUGCGAUCGGCAUCACAUCUGUGUGAACUGGUCUACAGUAGCUCACCCUCGAACCAACGGCCAGGUCGAGCGUGCCAACGGCAUGAUUUUACAGGGGCUCAAACCAAGGAUCUACAACCGCUUGAAGAAAUUCGGCAAGAAGUGGGUCGAGGAGCUUUCUUCAGUCCUAUGGAGCUUAAGAACGACGCCGAGCAGGGCCACAAAAUACCCCAUUCUUCAUGGUAUAUGGCUCUGAGGCCGUGCUCCCAACGGACCUCGAGUAUGGAUCCCCUCGACUCAAAGCAUACAACGAGCAGUCAAAUAAAGAGACUCAAGAGAACGCGGUCGACCAGCUCGAGGAAGCUCGAGACAUGGCCCUCCUCAGCUCCGCCAGAUACCAGCAGAAGCUUCGACGCUACCACGACAAGCACGUGCACAGAAGGGACUUGAAUGUGGGCGAUCUCGUCCUACGGCGGCGGCAAAGCAACCAAGGACGCCACAAGUUGACUCCACCCUAGGAGGGCCCAUACGUGGUAGCCAAAGUCCUGAAGCCAGGGACAUACAAGCUCGCGGACGAAAAAGGGGCAAUCUUCACCAACGCAUGGAACAUCGAACAGCUACAUCGAUUCUACCCCUAGAAUUUUAGAGCUUUAUGAUUCCAUGUACAUUCUGUACCAAGUCCUUGUGAAUGAGUACAUGAAUGAAUGAGAUCUUUCCCUCGAGUAAUUUAUUUUUUCACAACAUUUGAAGGGAGUACCAACUAUGACCCAUCAUAGUCGGUACCCCCUCGGGGGCUAGCAGGGGGAUGCCCCCCAGUGUCGAAAAAACCAACUAUUCCUUUCGUUCCUAUCUGUAGACUUCAUACGGUCGAGUAGUAGAGGAGGGGCCGAGAGACAACGAGCCCCUUAGGGGCCGAGAGACAACGAGCCUGAGAACUCCUACGCCCUCGGGCUACGGAAACUCUACUCGCUUCCUCACCCUUACGGCCAUCGAGGUCGCCUUAAACGAAAGACCAAGCGAGGAAUACAAACAUAGGAACAAAGGGAGAAGAGCCUCGAGUAGAAGCAUAGAUAAACAUUCACAGAAAUCUUACAACCACUUAAAAACAUUGUAUUACUUACAGACAAAUUAACAGAGUACUAUACAAGGGGCUCAGACACCCAGAAUAGGCUCGCAGGCCUCAAUCCGCGUCUCGACCCUCACCAUCCUCGCCCGUGCCUGAGCUAGUCUCAGGAGGAAGUACUUCCGGCUCAAACAGCUUGGCCAACCUUUCCCCAGGAACCUCUGCGUCGUCGAUCAAGGCAUGGAGCCUCUCUUCGUUCUCCGCAUCAGUCUUGGAGAUGUCGGUGACGAAGCCGUGGGAUACCACCUCCAUGUCGUAAGAGAAGCCCGAGCAGACUACCGCCAUCGCCCGCUUCACUCUGACGUGAAGAGUGUCCCGCACCCGGUCCCUCAGCGUAGCUCCAAGGUAGCAUAGCUGGUCGACGAGUGCGUCGCCUCGAGCCUCCUCCCUCGACUCGUCAAUAGGCUCGAGCUCCCAAGAGGCCGAGAGGUCGCUUAUCGCGGUUCGUAGUCGACCAUUCAAGGCGACCUCCCCCUCGAGCUGAGUCUUGACGAAACGGGCCGUGACUUGGGCGGCCAGCAGCUCAUCUUUGAGCCCUACAAAGACCAACACGAGGAAAUUAGCUAACGCCCAACACACCUCGAAAAGAAAAGUCGAUAGUAGAAAACAUACCACGGAUGCUCUCCUCCAGAGCCGUGUACUCGCCAACCAAGUUGGUGUUAGCCCUCUCGACCUCCCUGUUGGAGCACGCCAGCUCGGUGUUGGCGACACGCAGAUCCUCGAUCGGCUUGCCGGCUUGCGUGAUGGCCCCAUCUUUUUCCAGAAGCGCUCUCUUCAGACGAUCAAUGUCGUUAGAAAGGCUGCGGGAUCGAGCCUGCUCCUCCUCGAGAUCUUCGAGGGCCCUCUUCUUGGGCUCCUCUGCGGCGCUCCUGGCGAUCUUGUCGUUCACGCACUCCACCUUCAUCCUUUGAAAGGUUUCUCGGGUGGAGGCGAGUUCGGUCUAGAGGAGGCCCUUCUCCUUAUCUAGGUCAGCAGUCGCGCUCUUGUAGGUUAGGGCCUCGUCCCGAGCCUUGGACGUAGCUUCCUCGACCGUCAUAGCCUGCUCCCUCAGCAGCUUCACCUCUUCCACCGCCUUCCUUGAGACCUCUCGAGCCUCGACCAGAGCAGCCUCCCUCUCCUUCUCCUCCUCAAGUGCCAAGAGCUCCUUGUAGGCCUUGAGGAGCUUCUCCUGCGACUCCAGGAGUUGAUCCUUGAGGAGGGGGAGCUGCUCCCAGCCGCCUCUCGUGGCGUGGAUGAAGCUCGACUUGAUGCGGGAGGUCUCUUUCAGGUCCUGCGAGCCGGUGGUCGAGCAGUUAGAACACGAAACCAAAUGUUCUAUAAAGAUUGAGGACUGAAAAGUACUUACAAAGUAGGCCGGUCUGAGCCCGUUGUUAACAACGUCCGACAGGAGCUCCACUGUGUGCUUCAUCCAAAGGUGGAGCUUCUCGACGUGCUCCCACUUCUCGGCUUCCUUCCGAUCAUCUAGAAAAAUGUUGGGCUCAGACGGAUCGGUGGAAGCCCGGAUGUGGAUCCGAUCAGGGCACCAAUUCUCCACCUCCUGGUCGGCCCGCGCCUUGACACCGCAGAUGAGCUCCUCGACGGUCUCGAGCGACCCCCCGUGGCGCAGGAACAAGUCGACGAGGGAGGGGAACAACCCGUCGUCAUCCACCGUCUUCCAGGUGCCGGUUUCACUGCCUCCGCCACCGCCCGAUGUCCCAGCCUCGUCCUCCUCGGCGGGAAUACAGUCCUCCCACGACUGACGCUCCUGGAGGAAUCCCGGGGCGAUCCCGUCCAUGCCGUAGAUCAUCCUCCUGAUCUCGGACUCAGGGUCGACGGGGUGCGCAUCAUGCAGGCGAGCGCCACCACGCCGUCUGUGGCAGAACCUCCUAAGUGUUUGGGCCCACCGACACCUGCCAUUGUCCUAAGGACCUCUGACGGUGAUGCCGGGAGUCCUCCCACUUUAGAAGUCCGAUGAGCAUUGCUGGGCGCUCAUACCACUGCUACCUGUGGCGUAACAAGCUGGCUCGUCCUGACCACUGGUAAUGGUCAAACAACGAGAACUGUUUCUUCUCGCCCUUACAGGAUAGCAAGUGGCCACUUUAACACCAGGAUCAUUCGUUGCGAAGAUAAAGCAGUAACUCAACGACACACGACCAAAAUAGUAUUUCAGAGUGAAACAGCGGAAGUAUUACAUAACUUAAUUUAUAAAAGAAGUUCUUCCAAAAAGUAGAGUGUUAUUACAAGCCUGGUCCAGCGGAGCAACUGAAACUUUAGUACAGACAGAACAAAUUUACAGACCCUGCCCAUGGGUCACGCUCACUCUUCUUCGUCGUCAACCUCAACGACGGUCACACAACAGGGUCCGAAACAAGUCGGCUCCUGAGCUUCACCUGCAACAGGGGUAUUGAAACCCUGAGUACGGGAGUACUCAACAAGACUUAUCCGACGGGAAAAGAGGAGAAUUUAGGGAUGCAGGCUUAAGGUAGACAAGGGGUGGCUGAGCAAGGAGCCAAAGUGUUUUGCGGAAAAGCUUACUAGUAGUGCAUCCUUAUUUUCAAGUUUUACCCUGAAUUCCUCCCUCGCAGGGGCAGAAGAAUUCGAGGAUAGUCUAACUAGUUGUUCCCCACAGACGAAUCCGUGAGUUCUUAGUCCUAGCAUUAAGUAUUAUUUAUCGAUGGCCAUAGCUUCAUGUCGCUAUGAGUCCGGAAAUUGGGAUCCGAACCUCAUGAGACAUUUUCCCCUUUCUCAUUUUAUCACUUAGUUGCAUAUUUAACUACGAUGAGGGUCGAAGGAAUUGAGUCUCCCAAUCGGGGAGCAACGACGAUUCGAAUCGCUUAGCAAUCCAGCUGGAGUUCCUAACCACCCGACAUAUGUAGAACCAAAUCUUGCAUAUGUCAACCCAAAUCAAGCUCUCCCCAAAUCUGACCAGGUUCGCGGCACCCGAGAGCACAGUACUCCACCAUCCUACAGCCGAUCUAGAUGUUUUCCGGUCAUCUCAGAUCCGUAAGGUGGGUACACACUACUCUCGCCAUCUUUCCACUCCCAGUGCGCGAGUAGCUGUUCGCGUCGAGGGAUCACAAGACUGGGCUUACCGUAGGCAAGUGGCUAGUACUAUAAAUUCUCAACCCAGCAGGCCAUCAACGGACCGGUCCUUAACCGACACAGUUGGAGACACUACUUUAAGACUCCAUUCUUAAAGCAAGUCCACCGACCGGUCUCAAGUUGAAACAUCAUUGACCAUAAGUGUAUUCCACAACAACCCUUCAAACUUUCUUGUUUGAAAACCUAUCUAGUAGCAGGGCUAAGCAUCGCUACGCAGUUUUAAAAUAAAACAGGUGUCAAGGACAGGAUACAGAUAUCAAGGUAGUAAAUGCAGCAAGUAGGUUAACCCAAUUCUCAUCUACCUAAUGCAGCAUUUUCAAUUCAUAGUGAUAAAAGAUUUAAAGCAUCCAAGGAGGGGUUAAUGCAUCCGGGGCUUGCCUUGGUUGCAGGGCAGAGAGGGACCCUCGGAGACUUCCCAAGUCUCGGAUCCGACUUCCUCGAACGGAGCACCGACCUCAGGGUUCGGUUCAACGGGCGCUCCUUCGGUCACGGACACUAUACGCAAAAUGAUGAAUGCUUAUGAUAUGCGUAUGGCAAUUAUGCAAGAUGGACCGAAUUAAGUACAAUUUGCCUUUUUAAUGUAUUACAGAAUUGUCAUUAAAUAAAGUUGUUUAAUAACUUAAUAUUUUUACCCAAGAGGUUUCAUCUGUAAACUAAGACUUUACUUAAUUCAUAAUUAUCUUACAUUAAGUAAUUAUUAAACCUAUUUACCUUAAUUAAUUCUUAAUUAAUUACUAAUGACAGUAAUUAAGCAUUAAGGCUAAAUAAUAAUUAAAUGCCAAAGGUCAUUAGGGUUAAUGACCUCAGGUCAUCACACAAUCCCAAAAUCACUCAACUCUAAUUAUGAGGAUUUAGUUAAUCACUAUUUACUUAUUUUGGAAUGAUUAAUUAAAUACUAAAUAAGGGUUUAUUAACAUUUUAACCAAACCUUAUCCAAAUGCCACCAAAUUUUGUGUGGAGCCAGGGAAUAAUAUUCAGAGGCUCCCCACAAUUUUUGGUGAUUUUUGGACACACUGAUAAAUUACUAAAAUUCAUACAAGUUUUAUUUGCUAAUUAAAAGGGCAAAUUUUUACAGACAUGUAAACUACCAGAAAACAGAACUUAAUAUUUUUCUUGGGUUCUACUCACUUCAGAGAGCUUACACAAAAAUUUCCACAAUUUUUGGAUUAGCACACGAAUUAUUACACAAAAUCAAACAUAACUCAAAAACUGCACAAAAAGAAAAAGAAAAACAGUACUGUGCAGCGAGUGGCCGGGAAAUCGGCCUGCAGGCCGGCCCAUGUGCGCUCGGCCCACAACCGCGCUGCGCGCGCUGCCCCUCUCUCUCUGAGCGGUCACUGACGAGCGGGUCCCGCUCGUCAGGCCCUCUCUCUCUGCGGGACGCUGACGGGGCGACCCCACCCGUCAGCUGCGUCCUCCCCGCGCACGGCGGUUCGGCCACGGCUCCGGCCGCCGUUGGCGAGGGUCUCGGCCGGAGUGCGCGUGCGCAUCGGCUUCGCUUCAACUCCGCGACACUGUGGACAUCCCCUACCCACGCUCUACCCUACUUCUUCCACCUCAGUCACGAGAAGGGCGGGCAGCCGCCAUGGCCGACCCUCGGCCGGCCGCUAGGGCCCGAUAGAGUGCAAGCCAACGGCCGAGCGAGCUUCCAUAGGGGUUGGGGAGGGUGGUGCUCACGCUGCAAGGCUCGGAGAAGCAGCUGAAGCCGCUGGCGACGGAAGCAGUGUCGUCGGGCGGGAGCUCUGGCUCCGGCAAGCUUGUUCCGGCGGUCCUGCUCACAUUCAAGGAGAAGGAGCGAGAGCAUGAGCAACCGGGGCACGGAAGGGACUUGAAACAGUCGCCAGCGGGGUGUGAUACUCACUGGAACACCGUGGCCACGGGAAGAGCUCCGCGGCGGCGGUCUCGGCCGGAGUUGGAGAAGAGCAGAGAAGUUCUGGCGACUGGGUGGGUUAGAGAGGGAGCUUGGGGGUGCACUGGGUCCGCACGAAGGUGACGAAGACGCUGGGUUGCUCAAUUUGGCGCGAGGGGAACUGGGUACGGUGAAUUUCAGGGAGAGGGACGUCGAGUUUUCUCCGGCCGUGGACAGUGGAAACGGACGGCGUCGUCCACGUCGGUGCUCAAGUGGAGGGGAAGGCGAGCCCGAGGCGUCCACGUCGCCUGGCGACCCUGGCAGCAAGCAGCUGCGUGCCUGCGCGCGCGCACGCGGCGCUCCGCGCACGGCGGCCGCGCUGGACAGGGAGCCGGUGAUCCCUAUCGGGUCACUGUAGCAACCCUUAUCCCCUCUUUUCUGGAUUUUGUGAAAUUCAGCCGAAAUUUGAACUGGAGUCAAAUUUGUGUCAAAACAAAAGUUGUUCCAAAUUUUAUAAGCUACAAAACAUGUUUUGGUGACCAGAGCUGAUUUUGAGUGUAACAGGGUGAAUUUGGCCAAACAGUUUGAAAAUCAAACUCAAAUCAAAGAAAUUCCAAAUUUUUGAAUUGGGGCAAAACAGAAUUUCCAAAAUUACUUUUGAUUUUGUAUAAUAACUUGAAAAACUCCCAACAUGAAAGUUGCUCAAAUUUUUGUGCUCUACAACUUUCAUGUUGACCACUUUUCAAAAUUCCAAAUGGAUUUUGAAUUGGGGGUUUAAGUUGGAAAAGGGGACACUUUCUGGAAAUCUGUAUUUUCAAAAUUACUUUGAAUUUUGUACUGAAACUUCAAAAACUCAAAACACCAAAGUUGUACAUCUUGCCAAGAGUUACAACUUUGCUUUUGAACUCAACCUCAAAUUUUGCUUAGUUUUUGACUUAUGAAAAAGGGGACAAAUCUGGGAUCCAGGAAUCAGGGUUUUCCCCCCUAGCUCUUCGGAAAACUUCCACCCUAGGGUUUUUAGCAACCACACAAGCAUCAACAUCACACAUAAACACACUCUACCUCCCUAAGCUCAAGCAAUAAAAUGAAACUCGUUUUAAGUUGAUGCAUACUAAGGUGCUUUAACAAUUAUGCUUUGCAAUGCUUAUGAUGACAUGAUCCAUUUUUAGUAACCGUAACAUCAGGGAUGUUACACCGUCCGCCCGCCCCGACUCUGCUGGGAUUGCGGUGGGCGCCCCUGGACGGAGCCACGCCAGGGUUGGAGGGCUGAAAACUGGCAGACCUUCCUCCUGGUUCCCGGGCUCUUGCGGCGCCGGUAGUACCGGUUGGGGCGGACUGCGAGGAGGAGGCUCGAGCGGCUCCUCCGACAGCUGGCCCCCUGCUGCUGCUGCUCCUGGAGUUCCUGCGGCUCCUGCCGGCGGUCCUGCUCUAGCGACCCCUCGAGCCGGGAACCCGCUGGUGCCUGCCCCUCCUCUCUUUCCUUCAGCGGCGGCCGUUCCUCCUCCCGUGGUUGCUGCCGUGUCUCCUGCUUACGCUCCUCCUCCUCCUUCUUCUUCUGUUGCUCAACAGAGUGGAGCCCAAUAGGCCAAGGUGUCCGCCUCACAGUGGCGGAGGCCUCGACCUCCUCGUCCAUGGGACGGGCAUCCAUCGAAAGCCCGUCGCCGCCAGAUCCAUCACUAAUAGUGAUAGGUUCCGCCCCGACCCCCGAUCGAGGAGGCUCGGGGGCUCCCUCCUGCUCCUCGAGACGGGGCGCUUCAGCCCGCCUUGGCGAUGGCGAGAUGGACUCCACCACAGAUGGACGAGGCGGAGCGCCCUCGAUGCCAGUCGACGGCCGAAGACCGGAGUGGCCUGCAAGCGCUCAAUGACAAAAAUCAGUCGCCAUAACGACCGACACGAAGCAAACAUGCAGUUAGAAAUAAACUGCUAACUUGAAUCCUUAGGGACCGCUCCCACCUUGAGCCCUUUAGCCAUCGAAGGCUGAGCAUUCUUGAGUGUCCGCUUUAACCUGUAAAAAAGGAAUAGGCAUAAGCAAAGCCGGGGACAUACAGAGACAUCAAAGGACAGGAAUUAUGACGACGAAAACUUACCCCACAGGGAGCACGGCCUGCCUGUCGGUGCCUCGAGCGGCAGGCCUCGAGCCACCCCGCGUCAAGGCUCCAGGCCCCUCACGGGCAGCCGUAGGCCUUGGUCCAGCGUCGCCCGCCUGACGGGCGACGGGGCUAGCCCUCCUGCGGCCAGUCUCUCCCUUUUCGGAGGCCGCGGCGCGGCCACGGGUCAACGGCCCCGUUGCCUGGGGCUUAGCCUGGCCACCCGCCUUUGGUGAAGGGGGAGGUUGGGGGCGCGGGGCGACCCGGUUCGGCGCGGGCGCGGGAGGGGUGUCAGCGCGGGGACGGUGAGAUCCGCCUGGCACUUCUUUUGGCGCUCCCGUCCGCGGGGCGUCGACGUCGCCUCUAGGCGGACCCUCGAGGAUCCGAUCGAGGCGAGACGCCAUCCCCUCAGAAUCGUCGCUGUCGUCAUCGCCGGCUCUCCCGUCGUCCUCACUGGGGGAGUCUUCCUCAGGCUCUCCCCUUUGCCUAGACUUGGCCCGACGCACCUCUAAUGAUUGGCGGUCGAGAUUCUUCUUCUUCUCUUUCUUCUCCGAGUCCUUGGCGGACUUCUGCUUCUCUGCGGACUGAUGCCGCUUGUCACGGUCAACCUCGUCCUCCUUUACUAGAGGCCUCGAGGACCGAACGUCGAUCGGUCCCUGCGAGAGCAAGGACAGGCUCAAAAAGGGGAUCGAAGAGAAUUCAGAAUCAAAGCCAUACACAAGGAAAUAACUUACCAGGUCGAUUGAGCCCACCUCAGGACUCAUGGGGAAGCCGUUGACGUGCUCCGGCUGGAAGUCGCCGGCGGUGGCCGCCCUAACCCGGGCCGCGACCUCGUCGUCCGUCGGAGCCUCGUUGGACUGGUGAGCUUGGACGACGCCGUACGUCCAGUUCUCCGGACACUCCGUGAUUAAACGGCCGGUGUAGGCAGGAAGGAGGUCGUCGUCGUUUUUCAGGUAGAACCACUGGGAGUCCCAUCCGGUGUGGUUCGAGGACAAUCCCACCGGGAUGUACUCGCGUGGCCUCUUCGUCUUCCCCAUCUUCAGCACCAGGUUGAAGCACCCGGCCCGCACAGGUUUCCUCACGCCUGUAGUCCCAGUAGGGGUGUUGAAGAGUUCGCCCCUGUAGAGGUGGAGCCAUAGGUCCCAGUGGGGCAUCAUCCCCAAAUAGCCCUCACACACCGCGGCAAAGACCGCCGCGACGGUAAUGGCAUUUGGGGAGAAAUGCUGGAGCUCCACCUCGUAGUGAUGGCAGAGCGCCCGCAUGAAGCGACUCGGAGGAGUGCCCAGGCCAUGGCGGUGGAACUUGGCGAACGAAACCACAUAGCCCUUGGGCGGCCUGGGCUCCCGGUGGUCCGCCGGCGGCGCGAUCCACUCCGGUGACGAUAGCGAUGUGCGGUGGCGCAGGAGUCCCUCCCUCUCGAGCUCCAGCAACAGGCGCUCCGUCAUCGACGACGGGCGCCAGUCGUCGGUGGCGACGAGUCUCACAGGCAUCCUUGGGUGGAAGAAAGGCGGAUCCGCUACUGCUCGAGGGUGCGCGCUUGCGUGAGAUGGCAAGGAGGCAAAGACAGGAAUGAGGGCGGAAGGCAGAAGGGAGAACGGCAACCAGGCCACGGGAUAUUUAUAGACGGCAACCACCAACGGGCAGAUCCGAUAAAUACGGUAACUCCCCGUGUAAAUGCGCCACCUAACGGUCUUUUUUCUCCUCACAGGCUGGGCGCUCCGAAUUCUGCGCCGAUACAGUGUCGCAACAGCUCCCGCCUGAAAAGACGCGCCCAACGGGCAAAAAGGCGAACCGCCACGGCCUCUUCCUUCCCUUGUAAGCCAAGGUACGCACCCACGAAAGCCUCGAGAGGUCACAGGCUGACUGGCCGAAAGGGUUCGACAGCCGAUCUCGAGCACCAGAGUCAGGGAUGCCCAACGAGUGGUCGAAAAUCAAGGCCCGCCUCGAGAAUUCGCUGGGGAUGUCCGAGGUAGGGUCGAGACAGUCGAGAGGAAUCCCCCCGACGGGAGGCAUCGAGCCACUGGACUCUAUCGAAUGAGACCAGCAUCCCCAACAACGUCGACCCUGCUUUAUGAGAACGCCUCCGGGCUACAGCUCACCCCCUCGAAAGGGGCACAGGUUCUCACUCGGACUACCCGUUAGGAGCUCAAUCUAGGGUGGAUGACGCUCGCUCUAUCGAGAGUACGUCGAAACCCCAACGCAAAACAAGCCAAACAGAGCCUUCCACCACUGCUGUCGACAGCGCUUCUGUGAAUUAGGCGAUAUAACCCUUGAAGGAGUCAAAAAACUCCUCCAAGGGCUCGUGGGCUACCCCCGCGGGGUCGCUCGCGCGCCCCCACAGAAAUUCGACAACAAAAAUACAGCCUCCACUCGAGCGCAAGCGCUCGAAUGAAGACUCGAGGGCUACUGUCGAGGGUAUCAGUAAGGGGUAUCCCAACUGAUGUACAUAACGAAAUCGCCCGUACACAAGUCGAGGCCCCCAACUCGACGCUCUACCCAAUCACGCAUAUAAUCAUCGACGACCGCAGCCUCGAAGACGGAAAGGGCGUCGAGUGAAUCGAUCAGGGCUCGAGCGCCGACUACCAUCGAAUACGGAAACAGGCUCGAGCGAACCAGAAGGCGUCGAGAGCAAGGACGCCGCCCUCCGCCUAACGCGCGCACGGGAAUCAGGGCAUUUAAUGCGCCUGUCAUGUUCUCACCUAACACGCCAGUCACGGGAAACGUGAUGGGCGACAGGCACCCAUCCCAUCAUUCUUUUUGCAGCCUUCCCUACCAAAUAAUCCAGGACAUGUCAGAACGCAGGAAUCAGGGUCGGAACGUCUAAUCAAGACCCCCUCGAGACACCCAAGGUCAACGCUCUGGAUAGCAAGGCGCUACACGGCGUCUGACCCUCGACCAGACAUGUUUCCUUCCUGGGAAAGGGUUGGACGUCGAAUGAGAACACUGCAACCACUCCGACGUAUCAGCCGUCGUGAAGUACAGGCGUGCAGCAGAUAAGCCAGUCCAAGACGGCACGCAGAGCAGGAUACAGGGGCACGCAUAAUCAUCAUCAGGCUACCAAGACGGGACGGCUCGAGACCACGCCAGUACGGAGGCCUCGAGUAGGUCAGCGCGCCAUACCUCUAUCGACCCCUACUCUGACGCCUAUACUUGUACCCUGGGCUCCUCCUUGGAACUAUAAAAGGGGAGACCCGGGAAGAGAUACAUAAGACAAGACAUCACGCAAUACACCACAAGACAACUCACAAGCCAUACGUAGUAGAGCUUCCAUACAUCAUCUCAUUCCAUACCACGCUUGUAUUCACCCCUGUACAAGCACUUAGGUGCAAGAUAAUACAAACUCUCCCUCCCCCGCUGGACGUAGGGCCUUCUCUUGCCCAAACCAGGAUAAAUCUUUGUGUCUUUUUGCACCACCAUCUGGAAAAGGGAGCACGCAUACAAAUUCACUCGUUGGUGUGACCCCCCGUGGGGAAAACACCGACAAUGAACUAGUUCUUAGUUCCUGUGCUAUGUUCUUGAUAUGUUCAUAAUUAUUCUUCAUUGUUCAUCAGAUUAGUAUGAUUAGGAUUAGAAUUUGGAAUGGGAUGAUGGUUCACUGUGUUGUGAUGGUUGCUCUUAGCCUAGCCUGUCACUCCGAAGGGGUGGGGCCUAUGGGGGUUAGGAGUUGUUUCCAAUUACGUGAACAUGGUGUUCAGGUAUGCGGGAAUCAGUGGAUGUGUGGGUAUCUUUCGGGUAGAGGGGUAGGUGGCAGGGUAGUGACAGCUCUGUCAUCCUUUACAUUCCCCCACAAUCAGGUAUUCCGAUAGGAGUUCUAUAAAGUCUCUAUCGGCUAGGUAUCCAGCUGCGGGGAUCUCCCCUCAUCUCAGGCUUAGUUAUAACUCUAUUUAUUGCUAAUUAGAUGAUCUGCUAACAGUUCUAUGCAUAGUUAUAUGUGACCGAUGCCUGCUCAAGUAGAAUUAUUUCUUUUUUCUUUAUUUAUUAUUUCUCUUCUAUUUUAUCCUUGAGGUUGAUCCAAUGUGUGUCCACUAUCUUGAAUAUCAUGUUUAUUCCUGUUUACUCUAUGUCUACCAAACAUUCAAUAAGUAAUCAUGUUACACCAUGUUUGAUCCCUUUGCCUUCCUACGGGAAUUAUAAAUUCAACGCCCUUGAAUACUCACGGGUUGAAAUGCUACAAUGAUAUUUUUGUCCGCUUGCAGUUAUAUUACUUCUUCAUUCAUGAACUAUCGAUUAGCGUACCUAAGUACUAUUACUUAAGAUUGUAAUCCUUGUGCACUUCCAAGCGUAGUGCCACAGCUUUGCAUAUCGCAAGUAAGGAUGGUUAGGAAGCCCAAUCCAGCAUUCCUAAUUAUUGUUACCAGACUGCACUGCUAAGGCCAGCACCCUCAAGUUGCCUUGGGUUAUCUCUCUGAUGUAGCGAUAGUUACGGUAUGCCAACACCCGACAUUUCUGGUGCCAUUGCUAAGGAUGGAUCUAUGGUCUAUUUUUAGUAGUGACGCUAAGAAAUGCCAACAGCGAGCUGGUCGCUUGGGUUGUUGUGAUGACAAGCCCAUCUUCCUGAAUAGAGAUCGGGUAUGGCGCGAGACCUGGUCGGCCGCGUUACUUAGACCAUGAGGGAGACUCCCGCUUGGAGAGGUUGUCUUGAACUUGACAGUUCGUCCUUCGCGCGUUACCAUCAAGGACGUCCCCAACCGUUCGUGCGUGGUGGCAUGAGUUGGUCGAUGGGAGUCAGAAAAAUUUGGUGCUGGUGCUGAAGCGGUCUGGUGUGAGAUUGAAUCCACCAGAUCGGAGACUUCGAGAAGUCUAUGGUUGGCGUGAUCGAUGGCUUCAUGUAGAUCAGAAUUAUCGACUUGUUUUCCCUUGUAGCGAGGAAGCACAGGUUGAGUUGUCGGGGUCGUAGUGGUCGUGGUCAUCGUGAUUGGGGCCACUACUUUUGCUAUUUGAGGUCGGAUCUGAUUCUCUUCCAAAGUCGUGGUCGUAAGGCCACCGGCGUGAGUCGACCAGGUGAUGUGGCCGACGAUGAAUGUGAGGCCUUCAGCCACGGCAAUGGAAGCAGGGAUGAUGACCAUCUUGUUCGUCUGGAGAGUUACACACACACCCCCUACCUGGCGCUUCACUGUCGACAAAAGCUAGUUAGCAGUCUACCUUGGAGUAUACCCUCGGCAGUAGUUUAUCAGUAGACAGGUGCACAAACUACGAACUCGAUGGUGACGCAAGAUACAGACAAGGAUUUUAACCAGGUUCAGCCGCCGUGUGGGCGUAAUACCUACAUCCUACGUCUGAUUGUAUUGCUGUGUGUUGAAUUGAAUUGUUUAAGCGGGGUCCCUUGCCUCUCUUUAUAUAGUCUAGAGGGUAGGGCUACAAAUCUAGAAACUAAUCCUAGUCGGUUACAAUCGCUAUAGAUAACACGAUAUCAAUUCCUAUUCUAACCGACUAGAAUCCUGCUUGAUCUCCACAUCUUGUUUCCUUGUGCGAAACUCCGAGUAGUUGGAUCAAGCCUCGAACUGUCUCGUAAUGGACCAAGUCUCCUAGCCCAAGUCUAGCCGUAAGGGUAUAGGGGUUUAUACCCCCACAGUUAUGGCUAAGUCUGGGCCCGAGGUGGCUAAGUCUGCGAAUUGCGCCCAAGCCGCACCUAGAGAUUCCUUCUCUUCUUGCUUGAAGGUUAGGAUCUCUCUACGGAGACGAGCCACAUGAGAAAUGGGGAAGUAGGUCAGGCAAAACUUGGCUUGCAGCUUCUCCCAUUCUCCAUCUGCACUACCUCCAUAGCGAGAGUACCACUGUCUGGCUUUUCCCAUCAAAGAGAACGGGAAGAGCUUCCACUUAAGGGUAACUCGCCUCAUCCCUUGGAUGUGAAUGCACGAGCAAAGCUGCUCGAAAUCACAUAGGUGGGUAUAGGGAUUUUCAUCUCCUUCUCCUAAAACGGGAUUCUCCUAAACCAUCGCUAUGAGACUUGGGCGAAGCGCAUAAUAAACGGCCAAAAUGGCCUGAGAAGAACUAGGCGGCUCCAGCUCAACGUGUGAUGGAGCAGCGUAGUCAAAGAGGGUUCUUUGAUCCAUGGGAUAGGUAAACGUUCUAAUCAAACAAGGAUAACUUGAUGACUUUGAGUCUAGUUAACCAGCUACCGUUCCUCUGCAAUGGCGCCAGAAAUGCUUGUUGACUCUUUUUAGCGUCACUACCUAGGAUUGUCAGUCCUUGGCAUAGCACUAGAAAUGCUUGUGUGACACCAGAAGUCGCAAACAGUUUUAGCGCAAGGGGACGGUGGUCAAUGCAGCACUUCACCAGGAGUAUUCUAGGUAUCGUAUUUUCCACGGGGAACGAGAAGUGGACUAACUAGACCAAUUGAGUCGUCGGAUGAUGAUCAAGGGCUUAGGAUUGGGUGGAGAGGUAUUUCUAGUAUUUGGCUUCUGGUUAAGCUAUUCUAAGUAUACUAAGAGUUAACUCCCUUCCUACUAUGGCCGAUAGGUGAAAAGGGUGUGGCAAAACACUUCCCUAGGCAGCUACCAUGCAGGCCAACUAUUAUUUGCAACUUGCCUAACAACACACUGAAGAGAACUCCUAAUGUCCAGCAGAGUCCUGUCACACUUUGCUGCUAGCGUUCUUCAUGUGCGACAAGAAGUCCUCAAGGGCAACCUUAGUCUAGACACCAUGUCUACACUAAUUCUACUACUCUAGACCCAGCUAAGGUUUCGAGCACUUCACACAAGGCAAAACAAUGUGCCAGUAGGCCAGUUGUAUACUUAAAAUAAACUAAGACAGAAAGUAAAUACUGGAAGUACUCAGAUGAAAGGCAACUAGAAGGAAGACAUACUAGAAGACAAGCAUCCGCUGAGGCACUCUUGGAAGAAGACUCCCGACAAGCCAGGACUCCUACUCGGGGAACUCCUCACUCUCUUCCCUCUAUUCUUACACUUAGCUAAGAGUAGGUCUUCCUAAGAUACAUCAUGCUUACCUAGGCUCUCUAAGGGGGUAUUUAUAGGGGGGCUACUCUAGUGCCACGUCAGUGAUCCGCGUGCUCCCUCUUCUCCACUGUUGGAUCAAACCGACCUUGGAACCGCCACAUGAUCAAUGGUUGGGGAUUUCCAUCACAUGUUCAUCAUGGGGAUGUUGGUGGGAGUGAACUGACUUAAGGUGGGCCCACAUCACAGGUCGGUCGACCGACCUAUUGCCUCCAUGUGGGCCCCACCAACCUUCUAGAAGGUGCUGAGGUCGGUGGGAGUGUGGGCCAGGUGGGGGCCCACAAAAUGUGGGUCGGGGCUGACUUACCCAUAGGGGGGUUGGCCGACCACCUUGCUCCACAUGUUGUCCCCACUUGUCAUCUCCAAUGUUUUGUUGAUAUGUGGUGGUUUCGGUUCUUGAUCAUCUAUGCUUCAUUUGAGCUUGAUUAAGCUUGAUUAGUGGUUGUUUGCACCUGCAUCCAAAUAAUGACAUGUACAUGUGGAACCAAGUGAAUUGUACCUAUGUCACUAAUUAGUUGCUCGGUGUUAUCCCUAGAACUUAACCAUUGUUGACUAUUUUAGUGGUCGAAAAUCAUAGUGAAAACACCGUCAACAGCUACUAGGACUGAAGGUGGAGGGAGGUCAAGGAGACCGUGCGGCAAUGGAUCUAGCGGUGUGACUUCCUCCCCUCAUGCAGUGUGACACUAGAUGUGGGGGGAUGUUGCGUGUCCCUCUGCCUACCCCUUAGGCGAGACCAGACCCCUCUAUCCAACGUGUAAGUGCACCUAGUAGUGCCUUUUUAAACAUUGAGUAAAUUAUUUAAUAAGUAAUCAUAACUAAUUAAGAAGAGCAAAAACUUUAAUUGUCCAAACGCCGAGUCAUUAUUGCCUAAUCAUAGUUACUAAUGACUAGUAGUUGUUCCAAGUAGAACUCACGGUUUCAACUCUAAUUUUAUAUACACAACUUGUGACACGAUAUAAGAUUGUAAAAGGUUUUCAAUAAGUAAUCAUAGCCAAUAAAGAAGAGCGAAAACUUGUCAUUCCUGCUUAAUCAUAGCGACUAAUGACUAGUAGCGUUCAAAGUAGAACUCACGGUUUCAACAUUAAUUUUACACUAGGUUUGUGCACGUGCGUUGCUACGAGAUAACUAAAUUUUUAUACUAAAAUAUAUAGAUCAAAUGAUAAGAUAACAAUACCAUGAAAUUAAAUAACAACGUUAAAGUAAUAUUUACAUAAAAUGAACAUGUUUUCUGGAAGACAAGGAUAUCGAAAGUUAGGAUUAGUAUAACUUGGCCUAUUAUAUAUAAUUAGAAUAACAACAAAUAAGACAAUAUAAUAUAGCAUGAUAAUAAUUAUAAAAAUGUGCUUACACAAAAGUGCAUGUCCAUAUAAUGCUUCAUAAUACUAUUGUCUGUGCUAAUGCUAUGGUGCCACGGUGGCGUCUAGAAAUAGUUUACAUUUUGACCUAAGAAUUAUAUGUAUUACAACAUACCUCACACAUUUCAUAUGUUUUAAGAAAAAAAAACUUGUCACACAAGGACAAUUCAUGACAAAACAUUUCCAACCAUGAAACUUUAAGAUAUGCAGCGUACUUGUCUUUAGUUUGUUUUUGGUAGCAACAGAUGUACAUCGAAACAUAAAUAUGAAAUCAUCUAUGAGCUUUUGGUAGCAACAAGAAUAUGUGGAAUGAAGUCAUUUCCUAUUAAGAAACAAAUAAAUAUGAAAUCAUCCAUAAGCUCCUCAAUAUCUGUUUUGACAACUGGGUUUGCUAUCGUCAAAUCAAGCUCUGGGUACUCCCUUGAAACACCCAAAAUUUGAUUUUCAAUUUAUGGGUUAAUUUUGAUUUAUGUAAGUUUGUGAGCAUUUAAUUCAGCAAAUAAAUAAAUUUUGUUGAAAUUAAAAUCCAUCAUAAGGUUAGUAACAUGUUUUUGCAUUCAUGUUGGUCAUUGUUUUAUUUCGUGCUGUGUCGUUUUGUUCAAAUUUAGAUUUGGAUUCAAAUUCUCUUUAAAAAUGGCUUUGAAAACUAGACAUUAAUAAGGAAAAGGAGAAGAGGUUCCACUAACUGCUUUUGGCCCAGCUCAGGACGAAGGCGCAACCUUAUUCCACCUAGCCUAGCGAGAUCCGCAACCUCAUCCCAUGCGCACUCGGCCCAAUCGGCCUGCUCGAGCAGCCCAACUCACCACCAACGUGCCCCUCUCUUCCUCUGUUUCAUUGACCGGUGGGCCCUGUUCAUUUUUCUUUCGGCUUUGCAUGCUCUCGGUGCACGGCUAACGCUUGCCGAACAUCUUGCAGGGACCGCCGCCCGCCUUCCGCCGUCGUGAGCACUCUCCAAUCGCUCUCGGUCCCAAUCUUUGCCCUAGCUAAGCCCGCAUCGAGCCCCUCUAUGCUCCGUGCUUUCGGUUUGAUCUCUAGUUCCCUAAAUCAAUGAUUUGGCCAACGCCGGCCAUCACCGGCCAUGGUGAGGCGGGUUCGGCCCCAACUUCGGCCGGCCAUCUUCCUUUCCCACCCCGAUCUAAUCUCGGCCGUUCGAACAAAAUCUGACGGCCUAAAUCGAAUGAUACCCCUUCGGCCGUAAUUUUUUUCAAAAGAACCUCUGUGUUAUUUAAGUUGUAAACCCUCGGUCCUUGGCACAGUUGACAAAUACGCUCUCUGAUUUUGAAGACGUAAACUCAGUACUCAGAUUCAAAAUACGUUUUCACAAAAUUACAAGUUUACCACUAGUUUUAUAUUGCUCAUAAAAUAUUCGUUUUAACUCCGAUUUGACCCAUUCAAAUUGCGUUAGAUUCGUAAUCAUGAGAUCUACAGGUUAGUCUCACUGUUUUACUAGUUUUAAACUUUUUAAUUUCGUGACCCUAUUUAAUUUCUUUAUUUUUCUGAAGAAAAUCUUAGAAAAUUCAUAACUUCUUCGUUUUAGCUCCGAUUUUUGUGAUCUUUACAUCUAUGUGAUCAUAGUGCAACAUAGAUUUGUUUUACAAACUUUUCAUCUUUAUUUUCUACUCUUGAUGUAUUGUUCUAAUUAUAGAUUUGUUUGCUUUGUAUGAUUGCCUCUCGAUGCUUGUUGUUGAUGUGAUGGUUGUGUAUAGACGGUGAGCUUUACGUGGUGAUCAAGAAGCAGAUCAUUGAAGGUUUGGAGCUAAAAGAAACAACUGAGUUUUAAGGGAAGUAUAGCAUGGAAUCAUCCUUGUUUCCUAAUAAUUAUAAACAUGUAAUUCAUGCUGCAUGUGUCACCUUGCUAAGGAUUUCCUAGUAUUGAUCUUAUACCUUGUCACCUAUGGUUUUGCAUUAGGUAACUUAUGCUAGUGCUCUACUAAACCUUGAUCUUGUAAUUUGAUUAAGAGAAUAUGCAAUAAACAUUAAAAGAUGACUUUUUAGCAAAAUUGGUAAAGAGGGCUAGAGUAUUGCGUUAUCUUAUGGUGCUCUAGUUUCUCUCCGUAAGGACUUUUCUGUAUAUGACCAUCCGGGACAUACAAUACAACGGUGAGGGCUACAUGGCCCUAGCUUUAGCUUAGUAUGAGGAUCUUUUCUAGCUUGUUAGAGGUUACCCGUGUGGUGCAAAUGGUUAAUAGCAGACUUUGAAUUCCCUGCGUGGUAGAAUCGCAUGGACUGACUAAUGAAACCAAGCGGUCCUAACUUGUUAGAUAAACCUUUGAAAGGCUUCAUAGUGAACCCUGCCGGUCUUCCUUGGUAGUGGGCUAAGAGGCUGAUCACCUCAGGCGAAAGGGUAAAUCACGACUCACAGUGAAAGUGUACAACCUCUGCAGAGUGUAGAACUGAUAUAUUAGCCGUGCUCUUGGUCAUGAGUGGCCUUGGAGCAAUACUGAAUAAAUGUUCAUUAAUGGCAAAUCAUUAAUGUUAUUAUUGGUAAUAUGUUGUUUAUGCUAUUCUUUAUUCACUUUACUUGAUCAUGAGUUUACUUUGGGAUUUGACAAUUUGAUGCUACUCAUAUGCUAAAAUUGUGGCAACUAAAAGCUACAUGCAGUUAAACCUGUGUCUAGCCUUUGAGCCUCAUGAACCCCAUGUUAUUCUUGCUGAGUAUGAGAUGUACUUACUCUUGUCUUUACAUUUUAUUUGGAUAAAAAUCCUAGAUGGGUACCAGAUUGCUAGUUUGGAGAAGAGUUUAGGCUUGUGCUCAACCAGUCAGUUGUCGCUGUGGAUUUGGAGCUUUCACCUAAAGAAUGGAGUGUCUUUUCGCUAUUUGCUAUCUAAGGUUAUAUAUUUUAUAUUAAGUUCGUUAUAUAUUAAGCAUUGUCUAUUGAUAUUCCCCUUAUUUGUAGCUAUAUGUGAGGUUUGACUUCCUGGGCUCACAUAUGGUGUGUAUCUGGUUUUGUUCUUAAAACCGGGUGCUACAAAGUGGUACCAAAGCAAUGCUGGCUGUAGGAUGCAAGCCUAGAUAGUAAUGGUCAUUUUAGUCAUCUUUGCUUCACUACAUUCAUGCUUACUAUCUCACCCUUGAUAUUUGCUAAAAUUCUUAUGCUUCUAUCAUCUAAUUCUAUUAUAAAAGUAUUGCUUCUAUUCUAACUUCCUCUUGUUCUAAUUCCAUAGAUGGUUCGUAACGAAAACAUUGCUCGCAGAAACUCUGGAAGACCGUGCUUGAUGGGGUAUCUAUGGCUUAACGGAACCAGAGUAUGAAGAAGCUCGUCAUGUCACAUCAAGACAUGCUUGUUGGCGGAAGGAGUACUUUACCACAUCCUUUAGUGGUGAAGAUUUCUUUCACCACCAGCUUGUGCGUAUACUACAAGACCACUAUCCAAAACAGCAAGCCAAGGUGGAAUAUAAAUGCACUAAGUGGACUCAUCAUAAGUAUGAGAGCCACUGGAGCACAGAUGCACACAUCACAAGGUGGAAUGAGUUUACUGGUUCACGCGUGGUGUUGUAAUAGAACCGCCCAAAUUAUAAGAGAUUAAGCCUGAUAGCGACCGUUUGCAUAGUCAACUUGCCAAGAUCGUAAUAAGUCCAUCAAUCACCAUCCACAAAUACAUUCAGUUCGCAACAUUCAGAUGUUACAUCAGAGUUCAAAUAUAGUUAUUACAAACCAAGUUCAAGAGUAGCGGAAGCAUCAUAGUUUUAAAAUAACACACACACUUAGUCUGAUGCAGUGCCAUACUUCCGUCAUUCCCACAACAGCAAAAGAGAAGGUAGAGUGACCAUUGCCCUUGGUUUUAGUCAUCACCCAUCGCUGGGUACAAGCAGUGAAUGCAAUACCCAUAGUACAUCUGCCCAUCUACAAAACAACAUGGGAAUGGAACCCUGAGUACGAGAAGGUACUCAGCUAGACUUACCCAUCAUAAACCAAAAAUAAAAGGCUCUUCAAGGAUCAUGAAGGUUGUAUAGUGGGAUAGCUGAACCCUUUUGCGUAAAAAGCGUUAACCAGCUAGAAGUAUAUCCUGACAUCCCCUUUUCUUUUAUUUAGCCCAAGUUAGGUAUUAUUACCUAUCAUCUAGAUUUGCACCUGUACUAUUGCAAACAAUGGUUGUGAUAUGAUAGUACCUUAUCAUAGCAUUCACAAAUCGUUCAUUAUAGUAACCACAAUGUUCCAUAGUCCUUACUACGAGGAUGAAGCUCAAGUCAACUGCUCACUAAACAGGAGCGAUGGCGAUUCGAAUUGAUUUCUAACCAGCUAGCGAGUUAUUCCCCACACAAACCACACUCACUAAUUAAGUGAGCUACAGGUCAUCAUAUUACACUAUCUAGGACCAAUUCAUGGGUUCAGCAGGCACCAUCAGUACCCGAGGACCGUUCCGGCAUCUGAGGUAUCCAAGGUAUACCAAGGUUGCGCGCCGCGCCCUCGUCGUUCUCCUCAACCAUCACCAAUACAGCACAUGGCGGCUCGACUCACGGCCCGGAUAGUGUUCAGGUUUCGCGGUCGGAACAACUUAUCCUUCUAGCUAAGUGUGGGGCAUGCUUUCAACAAGACAAGAGGGCCGUCAACGAUUGGUCCUUAAUCGAAGCAGGCAGGGGCCAUACGGUCAACACCACCAGAAGACCCUGCCUGGUCUCAGUUUAUUUCCCACACUUGGUUACUUUUCACCAUAGUAUUGACAACUAGCAUUCAGGUAUUGUUGGGUAUUUUAAACGCAAACAGAAAAAUCCGCAAACGCACAAAUACCGAUGUAGCUUUCACCCGGGAGUAUUCCAAAGUAUCGAUUUUCCACAGGGAAUGUGUGUGUACUAAUUAAGAUUCAAGAUCGCCCAAGGAUAACUAUAUAAUUAUUUUUAGUGGGAAGAGAGGAAGUUUCCUGAGAGAUCACUAACCACAUAAAGAGAUGAGAAGGGGGCUAGGAAGCUCUGACUAUGGUCCUACAAACACCGAUCCGAACGCGGUAGGAUACGUCGACUGUUAGGGCUGUCACUACCCUAGGGCUACCACAACAAUCCGCAGGAUUGGAUGCAAUUCCAGGUAAUUGCAAGACUAAACACCACGUCUAUUCUAGUAAUUACUACUCUAGCGUUAUAAAGAAAAGAGCACUUGAUGCAAGCGAGAAUCCAAUAAAUAACUUGAAUGUAAAUAAAAGUAAUUAAAUAACUCAGGAAUUAUGAAUUGAAGAACUUGGAGAAUGAUGAAGAAUGAACCAGUUGUUGCAAAAGUACAAUGUUGAGAAAGAUCCGACAGAUCUGGCUCCUCCGCUCUACUCUUCUCUCUCCCUAUUUUCUAGAUUACAACUAGAACUAACUAGAACUAGAACUAGGUGAACUAGAACUAGAACUAGAUGAACUAGAGUGAUCCUCUCUACUUGGAUGAAUAAUUGAAACCCUAGCUUUGAUUCUGUAGAAGAGGUAUGCCUCCAGGGACUGGUGGGGGCUUGCUUAUAUAGCCCCUCUAAAUGAAUAUAAGCCGUCGGAUCAAAGCGACCUUAAUCGUACGGUUUUCCUUAAUCCUUUAGGUCGGUGGAGCAUGAUCCGCGAGAUGGAAGCUGAUUGGCUCCUGUAGCUAGGCGGGCGCCCUAGGGGGGAGGGCGGGCGCCCUGCCCCCGGGCGCGCUCGGCCUCCAGUUUGUUCCCGUGGCUUCUGGAGUCUUCUAGAUGAUAGAAAAUUAGCGCACACGUUAAUAUCUCUAUGUAAACCCGACGUGUGGGUCUUUCCUCCGUAUUUCCUGAUAACCCCCUGCAGAAAUAGACAAACACCAAAACUCAUAGAAUUCUGUCAGAUAAAACCCUAAGUCUGGCUGUUGGUUGCAUAUAGGUCCUUUUCCAUGAUUAGUUGACGGUUAAAUGUGAGCAUUAAGGACCGUGAACAAGCUCCCCCAAGCUUAACCUUUGCUCGUCCCUAAGCAAAGCUAAAAAUCAGCAAGAAAACAGGGGUUACUUUUAUGCCUCUUACUACAGGGUUUUUAAGUUAUCACUAAGGUCUUAAGUGAUUGAAAAAUAGAACGAUUAAGUCAAGCACUAUGUCUCAAGUUCUUCUGUCUUACCUUUGUUCUGGAGUUUUUUGUAAGUUUCCAAAAUAAAACUGAGGCAUUUGCCUUCUUCUCGAAAGAUAUAAGUAGAGCUUUAAAAGUUUUAGCAUACAUACUUUGUAUUUUGCUAUGUCAAUGCUCGAAGCAAGGGAGAGGAAUGUCAUACUCCUAGAUCAAGACCUUUGACCUUUUUGAAAAGUUUGUCAUCUCUUACUCGCAUAUUUCUUAUUAGAGGGACCAUGGGCUAUCAUUUUUUUCUUUCUUUUUUCAAUCUCUCUUUUUUUUCUCUUUUUUUUCAAGUGGGCACCAAGUACCCCUAAUUCUACUAUCGGACACGUGUCCAUUUUUUCCACUCAGGUUGGUAUCUUUGUACCCCUAAUUCUACUUCGGACACUUGUCCAUUUUUACAUCUCGUCUCACUCUUUUUUUUUCGAAUCACAUUUUUGCAUAGUCUCAUGCCUCUAAUGCAAUAAUACUUUGGAAGAGUGAAUCUUUUAUAUGUUUAAAACAAAAAGAUCUUGAUCUUUGGAGCAUGAUAAUUCUCUCAACCAAAACUACGAGAAUUAACAAUGGCUUGAACAAAGCAAGUGCCCACAGUUUUAAUAUUUAUAUCUUAUAAGACUCUAGGUAUUAUGUUAAACAGGAUCUCAUUUUUUUGAAUUUUUAGAUUUUCAAAAGAUACAAUCUCCAGAACUCUAGCGAAACUAGGAACAAGUUAAAUAGUAGCUCAGACCUUCUCAUAUCAUGUUUGUCAAUUACCUAGACUUGGAUCAAACUUUCUUUUUAUUUUAUUUAAAACUUAGGAUUACACAAAACUGUUGUAUAUUACUCAAAAGAAAAACUUUGUUUGGUUUCAUGGUUAUGCAUUUUUUACUUAUUUCCAAAAACUAGUAAAUAAAACCAUGAAAGAAAAGUAAUACUUAUCUAGAUACACGUGGGGGUGCCUCCCCCAAGCUGGAUGUUGACAUAGUCAUUCACUCUUGUGGCCUACAUGUUCGGUCUCACUCUUCUUAAGCCUCAAUAUCCUGCACAACCCAAAUAGACAACAAAACUUGUGGAGCAUGUUAAGGGUUAGGUAAUUGUCUAGAGCUUAUGAGAGCUUAAUGUGAGAAUUCUAUGAACUCAAUCACAUCAAGUUCCUCUACCAGGUUGUUUUGUGGCUCGAGAUAGAUUUUCAAACGUUGACCACUUACCUUAAAAGUGUUACCUAUGUCGUCUUGGAUGGUAAUGGCUCCAUGAGUUGAAGUGUCAAUAACCUUGUAUGGUCCAUCCCACUUACUUCGUAGCUUACCAUGCCCAAAGAGCUUAACUCUUGAAUUGAAUAGUAGAACCUUAUCUCCAGGCUUAAACUCCUUGUGCUUGAUUCUCUUAUCGUGCCAUCAUUUUGUUAUCUCUUUAUAGAUCCUUGAAUUGUGGUAGGCUUUCUCUCUCCAUUCUUCUAGCUCAGAUAGUUGCAUCAAACGAUUCUCGCUAGCGAGGUGGAGAUCCAUGUUCCAUUUCUUGAGUGCCCAAUGAGCCUUGAACUCUACUUCCACAGGCAAAUGACAAGUUUUUCCAUAUACAAGUUGAUAAGGUGACAUGCCUAUGGGUGUUUUGAAUGCCCAAAGUGCAUCAAGAAGUUUGUCCUUCCACCGCUUACCCAUCUCAUCUACUAUCUUUUAUAAAAUAUUUUUGAUUUGUUUGUUAGAUGUUUUGGCUUGACCGCUGGUCUGAGGAUGGUAUGGUGUUACGACGUUGUGUCGAACUCCAUGAUCAGCUAGGUACUUCUGAAAGAUUUUGUCGAUGAAGUGGGAACCUCCAUCGCUUAUAACUAUCCGGGGUAUACCAAAGCGAGGAAAGAUUACUUCAUGGAACAUUCUCUUGGCAUGUUUUGAAUCAGCUGAUCGACAAGGUAGGGCUUCUACCCAUUUGGACAUGUAAUUCCCGGACAUAGGGAAUGGCCCCAUGAAAUCAAUGCCCCAUACAUCGAAAAGUUCUACUUGAAGAUUAUUUGUGAGAGGCAUUUCAUUUUGUGAGUUGAUAUUCCCAUGUUUUUGACAUCGGUGGCAUCUCCUGACAAAGUCCUUUGUAUCUUCAUACAUCUUUGGCUCGAAAAAGCCACUUUGCCAAAUUUUAGCAUGUGUCUGGAAUGCUCCAUAGUGUCCUCCAUAUGGCGAGGCAUGGCAUCUUUCCAUAAUUUGAGUAGCCUCAGCCAUAGGAACACACCUUCUCAAGAGUCCAUCAGCGCAGACUCGGAAAAGAUAUGGCUCAUCCCAAAGGUGGAAAUGACUAUCGUGAAGCAACUUCCUUUUGUUUGUACCAGGUGGGACAUAGCCUUUUACAAUAAAGUUUACGAUGUCUGCGUACCAUGGAUCUGCAUGUGUUAUCUUAACCAGGGUGUCAUCCCUUAGGUAGUCAUUUAUGGGAAGCUCAUCAUGUGUUUCCUUAUAUUGAAGCCUAGACAAGUGGUCGGCUAUGGAAUUCUCUACUACCUUCCUAUCUCGGAUUUCUAUGUAAAAGUCUUAGAGUAGAAGAAUCCAUCGAAUUAGACGAGGCUUAGCAUCUUUCUUAGUGAGGAGGUACUUGAGAGCAGCAUGAUCUGAAUAGAUGAUUAUCUUUGACCCCACUAAGUAAGAUCUAAACUUGUCUACAGCAAAGACAACAGCCAAAAGCUCUUUUUCAGUUGUAGUGUAAUUGAGCUGUGGUCUAGACAAGGUUUUGCUAGCGUAGGAUAUGGCAUAAUGCUUUUUAUCCUUGGUUUGUCCUAAAACGGCACCAACCGCAAAAUCGCUAGCAUCACACAUGAUCUCAAAAGGAAGAUUCCAAUCAGGUGGUUGGAUAAUCGGGGCUGAGAUGAGUGCUUUCUUAAGAUUUUGAAAAGAUUCAUGACACUCAUCACUAAAGAUGAAAGGUGCAUCCUUAGCUAGGAGACUAGAUAGGGGUCUAGCAAUUUGAGAGAAGUUCUUGAUAAAGCAUCUAUAGAACCCUGCAUGCCCCAAAAAGCUAUGGAUUCCUUUCACAUUCGUGGUAGGUGGAAGUUUUUCAAUAACUUCAAUCUUUGCUUUGUCCACCUCUAUCCCAUGUUCGGACACUUUAUGUCCUAGCACUAUUCUUUCCUGAACCAUAAAAUGGAAUUUCUCCAAGUUCAGGAUUAAGUGAUUUUAUUCACAUCGCUGCAAGACUCUAUCUAAAUUCUCCAAACAAUGAUUGAAGGUUUUGCCAUAGACGGUAAAAUCAUCCAUGAAAACCUCCAUGAUCUUCUCAAUCAUGUCUGAGAAAAUAGACACCAUGCAUCGUUGGAAAGAAGCUGGAGCAUUGCACAAUCCGAACGACAUUCGUCGGUAUGCAUAAGUUCCAUACGGGCAUGUAAAUGUAGUCUUUUCUUGGUCAUCUGGGUGGAUUGGGAUUUGGUGAUAUCCGGAAUAACCAUCAAGGAAACAGAAGAAAGAGUGGUUUGCAAGCCGUUUCAACAUUUCAUCAAUGAAGGGUAAUGUAACAGAACCGCCCAAAUUAUAAGAGAUUAAGCUAAAUAGUGACCAUUUACACAGUCGAACCAUCGUGCUUAAGCCCAUAUAAUCCCAGUAGUCCGUGAAAUCUCAAAGGAUUUCAAACCUCAACUCGUAUAUACAACCAAGAUCGUAAUAAGUUCAGCGGUCACCAUCCACAAUUACAUUCAGUUCACAACAUUCAUAAAAUACAUCGGAGUCCUUAAAAUUAUUACAAACCAAGUUCUAGAGUAGCUGUGGCAGAACCACCCUAAUUAUAUGGCCCACAUGCACCUGUCAUUGUCCUUAAGACCUCUGACUACUGCACAUGAGAGUCAUAUAACUCGGAUAGUCUGUCGGGUGCCCUCAGAGGACCCCGAAUCAUCCACAUUUUUUUCACUCAUACAGGAUCAACAUGGAGUUACCACAACAUUACAACAUUUAUUACAAAAAGGACUUACAUCAGAGUGCGGAAGAUUUAUAAUGUAAUUUACAAAAUAUGAUGAAGUACAAAUUUAACUAAAUUUCCAAAAGGUGUGUAGAGUAGCAGAAGCAUCUUAUGUGAAGCUUCUAAGGUAGAAGAGGUGGAUAAAUCAUAUCGCGCCCACCGACAUGACCUCCAUUAGCAGCCUAAGUCAGCACCUGCAACAGGGGUUAUAAAACCCUGAGUACGGGAGUACUCAACAAGACUUACCCGGCAGAAAAAGAGGAGAACUUAGGAAUGCAGGCUUAGGGUAGACAAGGAGUGGCUGAGCAAGGAGCCAAAUUGUUUUGCCAAAAAGCUUACUAAUAGUGCAUCCUUACUUUCAAGUUUUAUCCACGAAUUCCUCUCCGUAAGAGGUCGAGGAGUUCGAGGACAGUCUAUCUAGUUGCUUCUCACAGACAAGUCUGUAAGUUCCUAGUCCUUAAAUAAAGUAGUAUCCAUCCAACGGCCAUAGCUUCAUGUCACUCUGAGUCCGGGAAUUGGGAUCCGAACCUCAUGUGACAUUUCCCCAUUCCUCAUUUUACCACUUAGUUGCAUAUUUAACUACGAUGAGGGUCGAAGGAAUUGAGUCUCCCAAUCGGGGAGCACGACGAUUCGAAUCGCUUAGCAAUCCAGCUGGAGUUCCUAACCACCCGACAUAUGUAGAACUAAAUCUUGCAUAUGUCAACCCAAAUCAAGCUCUCCCCAAAUUUGACUAGGUUCGCGGCACCCGAGAGCACAGUACUCCACCAUCCUACAGCCGAUCUAGAUGUUUUCCGGUCAUCUCAGAUCCGUAAGGUGGGUACACACUACUCUCGCUAUCGCUCCACGCCCAGUGCGCGAGUAGCUGUUCGCAUCGAGGGAUCACAAGACCGGGCUUACCGAGGGCAAGUGGCUAGUACUAUAAAUUCUCAACCCAGCAGGCCAUCAACGGACCGGUCCUUAAUCGACACAGUUGGAGACACUACUUUAAGACUCCAUUCUUAAAGCAAGUCCACCGACCGGUCUCAAGUUGAAACAUCAAUGAACAUAAGUGUAUUCCACAAUAACCCUUCAAACUUUCUUGUUUGAAAACCUAUCUAGUAGCAGGGCUAAGCAUCACUACGCAGUUUUAAAAUAAAAUAGGUGUCAAGGACAGGAUAACAAAUAUCAAGGUAGUAAAUGCAGCAAGUAGGUUAACCUAAUUCUCAACUAACUAAUGCAGCAUUUUCAAUUCAUAAGUGAUAAAAGAUUUAAAACAUUCAAGGAGGGGUUAAUGCAUCCGGGGCUUGCCUUGGUUGCAGAGCUGAGAGGGACCCUCGGAGACUUCCCAAGUCUCGGAUCCUACUUCCUCGAAUGGAGCACCGACCUCGGGGUUCGGUUCAACGGUUGCUCCUUCGGUCACGUGCACUAUACGCAAAAUGAUGGAUGCUCAUGAUAUGCGUAUGACAAAUAUUUAAGAAGGACCGAGUUAACUACAACGGGCCUUCUUGGUGCAAUACAGACUAAACAAUAAUUAAAGUUGUUUAUCAUUUUAGUUUCUUUACCCAAGAGGUUGCAUCAGUAAACUAAGAUUCCUCUUAAUUCACAAUUAUCCUUAAUUAUCUAAUUAUUAAUCCUUUUUAUCUUAAUUAAUUCUUAAUUAAGUAUUAAUGACAGUAAUUAAACAUUAAUGCUAAACAAUAAUUAAAUGCCAAAGGUCAUUAAGGUUAAUGACCUCAGGUCAUCACACAAUCCCAAAAUCACUGAAACCCUAAUUUGAGAAUUUAACCAAUUAUUACCUAAUUAUUCUAGAAUUAUUAUUUAACUAAUAAUUAAGGGUUUAAUAAUAUUUUAUUCAAACAUUAUCCAAAUGCCACCAAAUUUUGUGUGAAGCCAGGGAAUAAUAUUCAGAGGAAUCCCACAAAUUUUGGUGAUUUUUGGACAUGCAAUUAAAUUAUUAAAAUUCAUAGAAGUUUUAUUUGCUAAUUAAAAGAGGCAAUUUUUAUACACCUGCAAACUACCAGAAAAAAAUAGAACCUAAUAUUUUUCCUGUGUUCUACUUAUUUCAUAGAACCUACACAAAAAAGUUUCAUCAUUUUUGGAUCAGUACAUAAUUUAUUACACCAAAUCAAAAAUAAAACACUUUUAAAUCGAAAAGGAAAAAGCAAAACAAAUUAAAACCUGGAGAGGCCCAGCCAAAAGGCCCGCAGGCCGGCCCAUACGGGUGCUGCGCGCGCGCUCUCCCUCUUCACGCGGUCACUGACGGGCGGGUCUCGCUCGUCAGACCCUCCUUCCUCCUCUCUCUGCGGGACGCUGACGGGGAGGUCCCACCCGUCAGCUCCUUCUUCUUCACGCGCGGCGGCACUGCCACGGCUCCGGCCGCCAUUGGCGAGGGUCUUAGCCCAUGCGCGCGCGCGCACCAGCCUCGCCUCGCCUUCGCGAACCUAUUGCCAACACUCAAUCGUGCUCUACUCUCUCCCUUCCACUUCGGCCUCGCGAAUGGCGGGCGGCCGCCAUAGCCGACCGCGGACCGGCCACUACGGCUCGGUAGAGCGCAAACGGACAUGCUAGAGAGCUUCCACGAGGGUGAGAGAGCGUGGUGCUCACGUUGCGAGGCUUGAGGAGGUAGCCGAGGUUGCUGGCAACGGAGGUGGUGCCGUCGGGCGGGCGCUCUGGGCUCGGCGGAGUUAUUUCGGUGAACCUGCUCGCGUCCAAAGAAAAGCAGCAAGCGCAUGAGCUUCUGGGUGACAAAGGGAAGUAGGAACACUCGCUAGUAUGGCAUGCUACCUUCAAUAACGGCUUGGCCACGGAGAGGGUUCACGGCGGCGGUCCCGGCCGGAGUUGGAGAAGAACAGAGAGUCCGAGCGAUUGGGCGGGUUAGAGGAAGAGCUAGGGGGUGCACUGAGCUCGCAAGGGUGUGGCGAACAUUGUGGAGUGCUCAAUUGAGUUGGAGAGGGAUCGAGUGCGGUGAAUUUUAGGGCGAAACAGGGUUGUCGGCGUUGGGCGGAAAAGGGAAAAACGAGGCGGCCGAGCAGUGGGAUCACCGAGGGGAGUGGAUGAGCACGCUGGGGGCUCGUCCACAUCACGGCGGGCUCGCGCAGCCAAGCAGCUGCGUGGCCAGGCGCGUGGCGGCACUGGACGCAGCGGCUCUGCCCCGGCGGCAGAGCAUCCCCCCUGCUCAAGCACUGUAGCGAGCUCUAUCCAACCAGUUUUGUGGUUUUGCAAAAUUCGCACAAAUUUUGAACUGAAGACAAAACUCCACCAAAAUGAAAGUUGUGCAGAAUUUUACAAGCUACAAAACUCCUUUCGGUGACCAAAGCUAAAUCUGAGUGGAAAUUGGUGAUUUUAACGAAACAGUUUGAAAUUCAAAACUCAAUUCAAGGAAAUUCAAAUUUUUGAAUUGGGGCAGAUCAGAAUUUCCAAAAUUACUUUUGAUUUUCCAUAACAACUUGAAAAACUCCCAAAAUGAAAGUUGUUCAACUUUUUAAGCUCUACAACUUUCAUGUUGGUCACUUUUCAAAAUUUCAAAUAGAUUUUGAAUUGGGGAUUCAAAUUGGAAAAGGGGACACUUUUUGGAAAUCUGUAUUUUCAAAAUUACUUUGAAUUUUGUAUUGAAACUUCAAAAACUCAAAACACCAAAGUUGUACAUCUUGACAAGAUCUACAACUUUUAUUUUGAACUCCACCUCAAAUUUUGCUUGGUUUUUAAAUUGCAUAAAAGGGGGCAAAACAAGGCUUUUAAAAAUCAGGGUUUUCCCCCCCAUUUUCUCGGAAACCUUCCACCCUAGGGAUUAUACAACCAAAAUUCCCUAAGCACAAUCCACCAAAAUAAACUUAUUUUAAGUUGAUGCAUAAUGAUGUGCUUAACAAAUAUGCUUUGCAAUGCUUAUGAUGACAUGAUCCAUUUUUAGUGUUCAUAACAUCAGGGAUGUUACAGUAGCGGAAGCUUCAUAGUUUGAAAAUAACACACACAUACUUAGUCUGAUACAGUGCCAUAGUUCGGUCAUUCCCACAAAGCAAAAGAGGAGGUAGAGUGACCAUCGCCCUUGGUCUAGUCAUCGCCCAUCGCUGGGUACAAGCAGAGUAUGCAAUAACCAUAGUACAUUUGACCAUUUGCAAAACAACAUGGGAGUAGAACCCUGAGUACGAGAAUGUACUCAGCUAGACUUACCCAUCAUAAACCAAAAUAAAGACUCUUCAAGGAUCAUGAAGGCUAUAUAGUGGGGUAGCUGAUGACUUUUUGCAUAAAAGCGCUGUUUUAUUAAACAUAACCUAAAGGAAUCCUUCUUCGUUUAAUUAGCUCAAGUUGAAAGUAUCAUUACCUAAUAUCUAGGUUUGCACCUGCACUAUGGCAAACAAAUGUAAUAAUAUGAUGGUACCUCAUCAUAGCUUUCAUGAAAUCAUCUAUCAUAUAACCCAAGUGUUCCAUAGUCCUUACUACGAGGACAGGGCUCAUGUCAAGUCCUCACUAUCCAGGAGCGAUGGCAAUUCGAAUCGAUUUCUGACCAGCUGGAGAGUUUAUUCCCCACACAAACCACACUCACGGAUCAAGUGAGCUACAGAUCACCGUGAUGCACUAUCCAGGACCAAUUCGCGGGUUCGACAGGCACCGCCCGUACCCGAGGACCAUUCCGGCGACCGAGGUAUCCAAGGUAUACCAAGGUUGCGCGCCGCGCCCUCGUCGUUCUUCUCAACCAUCACCAAUACAGCGCGUACAUCGGGCCGAUUCCCGGCCUGGAUAGUGCUCAGGCUUCGAGGUCGGAAUGACUUAUCCUUCCAGCUAAGUGUGGGGCAUGCGUUCAACAUGACAAGAGGGCCGUCAAUGAUCGGUCCUUAAUCGACGCAGGCAGGGGCACUACAGUCAACCCACCAUAAGACCCUACUCGGUCUCAAAUUCCAUUCCACACUUGGUUAUUCUUUCCCAAAGCAAUCACCGCUUAAUCAAGCAGGUAUCCACCUGUAUCUCGCAGGUGACAGGAAAUCACCCGACUUCUACCGGACUAAGCAAGCUAAGCAUAGACUCCGUGCCUAUCUACAUAGGACAAGGUAGGUACACAAGUGAUGAUGUCAAGGAGUACAUAUGCAUCAACGGUAUCAAGCAACUCCUAUCACUUAAAUGCAACAUAGUUGAACAAGCAUAAUAUAUCAUUUAUGUUAGCGAGAAUAGGGAGACUUAGAAUGCUCCGGAGCUUGCCUUUCUCAAACGUGCUCGGUCUGUUCUCCGGGCACUCCUGCAGCUCUUCUCCGGGCUCUGACACUCCCAGAGGUUCCUGCUCCUGUGCUUCCUCCUGCUCCUCGGGUCCCACCUCGUUCUCCUGCGAGCCUGUAUGAUGCAUGGGUGCUCAUGAGUGGAGUGCGAGAUGCCCGGGGUGCAAUGCUUAUGCAAGAGGAUACCAAAUGACCAUGACAUGAUACAUAGAUGAUUUAAGUUGUCAUUUCUACAAGGUAGUCAACAUCAUCCAAGAACAUGCAAUUGAGUUAAGCAUCUAUUGCAUUCUCUUCUACAAUUUGUAUUCAUGGUUAACCAGCCCUCACAUGAUGAUUCAAAGAUACACCAAACAUCCUCUUACUUUAUUUAAUCUAUGUAUAACAAUUAUAAUUUCUUUAUCCACUUUUAGGCCUACCAAAAUAGCAUACAUUUCUGUUUAUCAAUAAGUCCCACAAAAAUUAUAGUAGACUACUAGUCACUCAUAAAGUCUACCAUAAAUUUUUCAUAAUAUUUGAACACUUAUUUUGAGCUAACAAAAUCACAGAUUAAUCCAUAUAAUUAAGUAUAAUUAUCCUACUGUUGUGUAAGUGUCAAACAGUAGAUUUCAUAUUUUUAUAAUUUACUUAUUAUCAUAAGAAACACCCACAAAAAUUUUCAGAUUAAUUGCAUGAUCCAAUUAUUUAUUAAAAAUCCUACACCACUGCCAUGCAAGCAUUUAAAUCAACAUAAAUUCAUUAAUACAGCAAAUAAUGUGUAACAUAUUUUUCCCAGAGCCUAAUCAUCCAUGCAGAGCCAAUAAAACAAGUUUCAUAUUUUUCUGAGUUAUAUUUUAAUUGCUAUGCAUUUUCCAAUUUUCAGCAAAAACAUGGAUUAAACAUAUUUGUACAGAAAAGUUGUUCAAACAUGACAUGAAACCACACCAAACUAUAGAUCUGAGAGUAUAGAACACAUCAAAACUUAUUUCACAAAUUUUGGAGCCAUGCAUCUCAAGUUAUGGAUUUUACAACAUUUAAAUCAAUUUAAGGAAAUUAUUUUCUAAGACACCCAGAUCUACACCCAACUCGGUACCCCUGCGACUGCCAGUGGGCCCCUGACCCCACUGGUCAGUGUGACCGAGAAGGAGGGCACCUCCGACGAGCGGAUCUCGCCGGCGGUGAGGUCCCCGGCCACGGGGUGAGCACCAUCGUGCUCCCCGCAGCGAGGCGCACCCAAGGGUGCCCUUGGAUCGGCCGGAGGGUGACCGGAGCACCCUUGCGAGCAUGCAUGGCGGCACGGCGGCGCUGCUCACCGUGGCUAGGCUGCUCCGGUGCGGUAGAACACGCGCAAGUGCUCCUCCGAGUUUCCCCGUCGAACUACGGACCUAACGUGCCAAAAAGCAAGCGAAACGAGGCAGAAACGAGCGAGGUUCGACGCGGCGGAGCUCUCCGGCGAGGUCGGAGCAACUCCGGCGAGCGAUUUACGGCGAACGAGGGUCUCUCACCUCGGUAGAGCGUGCGCAAAAGCUUACCGCGACGACGGCGAGUGCAGUGGUGGCUUUGGCGCUGAGGAUAGGCCACUGGCGUGACCGGCGGUGAGCAGCGGAGCUUCUCCGGCGAUGGCGCUGCGGCGGAGCUGCUACGGCUGCGGUUGCGCUCGCGAGCGGAGGAAGAAGAGAGAGAGGAGUGGGGACAAAAUGGAGUGGCCUGGGGGCGCGGGUUGGCGUCCCGACCAGGUGAAGGCGGGUCGGCCGCGGCGUGUCCACGACGCUGGCGUACGGCCGCCACGUGGCCGGCGCCGGUUGGAGCGAGGCGGGCGCCGCGCGCGGGAGAGAGAGGCGAGGGGAAGCGGGCCGCGCUGCCUGGCUGGGCCGAAAGGGAGGCGGGUCGGCCCAGCAGCGCCUGUCCCCUUUCUCUUUUUUUUAAUUUCUUUUCUUAAAUUCUUUCUAAAUUCAUUUAGACUAUUUAAAAAUCAUUUUCACCUUUUUCUCCCAAAAUAAAAGUUGUUCCAAAACAAAAACCCUACAACUUUGUUUUAAUAAGCAAAGCCAAAUUUCUAAUAGAAUUUGAAUCUCGGAUUAAAACUAGUUCUAGGUUUUAAAUAAAUUCAUUUUAGGGAUUUUUGCAUAAAUUCCGUUUCUCGAAUUCCAUAGCUCCAAAAAAUUCCACAAAAUUACCCUUAAUUCUUUUAACACACAAAUCAACCUAAUUUGAAUAUUUCACAUUUUUAGAUGUAAGCAUUAUAUUUUUAACAUAUUUAAUUCACCUGAAAUAAAGCACACAUAAAAUCACACUUGAAUUAUUAUUGUGCUCAUGGGAUGUGAUGCUCAUGCCAUGCUUGAUGAGAAUGCUUAUGAAUGUUUUAUGAGACUAAGUGCAUGCUUAACACCUAGGGUGUUAUAGGUAACGGAAAGUGAUCUUUCUUUGUAGCCUUGUUGAGUUUUCGAUAGUCAAUACACAUACGCCACCCACUGACAAUUCGUUGAGGGAUGAGUUCAUUCUUCUCAUUCCUAACGACCGUCAUUCCUCCUUUCUUUGGCACUACUUGGAUGAGGCUUACCCACUCACUACGUGGCACAGGAUAAAUAAUCCCAGCAUGAUAGAGUUUGAGGACCUCUUUCCUAACAACUUCUCGCAUAGCAUUGUUACGUCUUCGCUGUGGUUCCCUUGAAGCUGUAAAAUUAGGAUCAAUAGGGAUACGAUGAGUGCAGAGAAUGGGACUAAUGCCCGGGAGAUCAUCGAGAGAGUAGCCAAAUGCUGAUCUAUGCCUUUCAAGAACAGUGACAAGUUGUUGUGUUUCAUAAUCGGAAAGCUUGUCACUGAUAAUUACUGGAGUUUUUGGGUUGUUGUGCAAAAAGACAUAUCUAAGGCCAGAAGGAAGAGGUUUUAACUCUAUCGAAGGAGGUGAAGGUUUUUCAUUUUUGUCUAGCUCAACGGAUUCUACCAACUCUUCUUCUUCUUGAACAAAUUGUUCAUGAUUAAAGAAUGGUUGGGCCAUCUCCUCUUGAGUCAGCAUUAAGAUCUCCUCAAUAGGAUCUGGUUCAAGUUUCGGUUCCACUAUCGUGUUAAGUGAUCUAGCAAGAGGAACAACAAUAGUGGAAUUCCCAACCUUGAAGUCUAAAUGACCUCGUUGUGGUUGUUCUUGUAGAAGUUUCAUGAUUGAUCUGCCAAUCAAGAGAGGAAUCUCUGGUAUGUCAAAAAUGUGAAAAUCUAGACAUAUUCCAGAGUCCUUGAUUCUAACAGGAACUACCCUUAAUACCCCUGGCUUUCUACAAUUAAUCCAGAUGGACUUUGUAAAAGUUUCUAAGAUGGGGUUAUGGACUCGUUGGGAUAAAGAGUGUCAGCUAACUCCUUGGAAAUAAUAUUUAUCCCAACAUAUGGACUGUAGUGGACCUUCCUAGCGGACCCUCUAAUUUGGCACAAAAGAAUGGUUGAAGGAGUGAUGAUCCGAGCUACCUCAAGAGACAGCUCAGCUUCUGUUAGCCAUUCAUAACUCAGAAUAGGUGAAAGGCUUUUGAUGUGUUCUAUGUCAACAGAUUCUUCGCUUAGAACAGAUUGAGUGGUCCCUGCUAGAGGUCGUGUUUUGAUAGGAAAAUUCGAGGUGUUUCCAUAAUCUUCAAAAAGGUCUUCCUCGAAUUCAAAGGGAUGCUCUAAAGGUGAUGGUUCAUCAUCCCUUAGUUGGUUUUGCAUUCCCUUAUCAGGAGGUUUCUCUACAACCAAAUUAAUAGAUGGGUCAGGUGGAAUUUCUAACUCGGUUGCAAGUUCCUCAUCUUUUGGUUUAGGAUCAGGCUCUACUUCUUUUUCUUCUUUAGGAAACUCAUCAUAAAUGCCUGUGUAAGAAUGAGCCUCCUGAAGCAAUGUCGAGGUGAAGAGCAGCUUCCUUGUUUAGACCACUAUAAAAGUGGUAGUACAGUACAUGGUUAGGCAGGGAAUGCUUUGGACCGGAAUUGGUAAGGCUUGUGAACCUAGCCCAAGCUGCUCCUAAAGUUUCCUUCUCUCUUUGUUUGAAUAUAAGAAUUUCGAUUCUAAGGUCAGCGAUUCGAAAAAGUGGGAAGAAAGCGAGACAAAAGUUGUCUCGAAGUUCAUCCCAAUUUCCAUUAAUGCCUCCUACAUAAUGAGCAUACCACUUUUUUGCUCUUCCCAAAAGGGAGAAAGGAAAUAAUUUUCAUUUAAGGGUUUCUUGUGUCAUGCCGGAAAUAGAUUGGCAAGAGCACAACUGCUAAAAUUCUCUAAGGUGGGUGUAUGGAUCUUCAUAUACUUGCCCAGAGAAGGGUUGCUCCUGAAUCAUGGCUAUUAGAUCAGGGCCGAGGUUGUAGCCAUCUAUAAGAAUUGGAUCUGAUGAUGGUGGUGGCUCUAAUAACUCGCCCUUUGGAGCAAAGAAUUUAUAGAUAGGAGUGAAAUCCAUGUGGUAUGGUGAAAAUGGUAAGGUGACUGUGGUAAAAAGGGAAAAGAAAAAGGAUACAUGGACGACUUGGUUCGAAACUAGCACAGCUACUGUUCCCCGGCAACGGCGCCAGAAGCUUGUUGGGUAUUUUAAAUGCAAACAGAAAAAUCCGCAAGCGCACGGAUACCGAUGUAGCUUUCAUCCGAGAGUAUUCCAGAGUAUCGAUUUUCCACAGGGAAUGUGAGUGUACUAAUUAAGAUUCAAGAUCGCCCAAGGAUAACUAUAUAAUUAUUUUUGGUGGGAAGAGAGGAAGUUUCGUGAGAGUUCUCUAGUUGAUCUAUGAAUCAAGAAUUAUUUCAAAGAUUAUUUAUUUUGGGACAUCAGAACACUAACCACAGAAAGAGAUGAGAAGGGGGCUAGGAAGCUCUGACUAUGGUCCUACAAACACCGAUCCGAACGAGGUGGGAUACGUCGACCGUUAGGGCUGUCACUACCCUAGGGCUACCACAACAAUCCGCAGGAUUGGGUGCAAUUCCAGGUAAUUGAAAGACUAAACACCACGUCUAAUCUAUUAAUUACUACUCUAGCGUUAUAAUGACUAGAGCACUUGAUGCAAGUGAGAAUCCAAUAAAUUACUUGAAUGUAAAUAAAUGUAAUUAAAGAACUCAGGAAUUAUGAAUUGAAGAACUUGGAGAACGAUGAAGAAUGAACCAGUUGCUGCAAAAGUACAAUGUUGAGGAAGAUCCAACAGAUCCGGCUCCUCCUUCGCUCUCCUCUUCUCUCUCCCUAUUUUCUAGAUUACAACUAGAACUAACUAGAACUAGAACUAGAUGAACUAGAAAUAGAACUAGAUGAACUAGAGGAUCCUCUCUAUUUGGAUGAAUAAUUGAAACCCUAGCUUUGAUUCUCUAGAAGAGGUAUGCCUCCAGGGGCUGGUGGGCGCUUGCUUAUAUAGCCCCUCUAAAUGAAUAUGAGCCAUCGGAUCAAACCGACCAUAAUCGCACGGUUUUUCUUAAUCCUUUAGGUCGGUGGAGCAUGAUCCGCGAGAUGGAAGCUGAUUGGCUCCUGUAGGUGGCCGGGCGCCCUAGGGGGGAGGGCGGGCGCCCUGCCCCUGGGCCCGCUCGACCUCCCGUUCGUUCCUGUGGCUUCUGGAGUCUUCUAGAUGAUAGAAAAUUAGCGCACACGUUAAUAUCUCUAUGUAAACCCGACGUGUGGGCCUUUCCUCCGUAUUUCCUGAUAACCCCCUGCAGAAAUAGACAAACACUAGGAAUUCAGUCAGAUAAAACCCUAAGUCUGGGUGUUGGUUGCUUAUAGGUCCUUUUUCAUGAUUAGCUGACGGUUAAAUGUGAGCAUUAAGGACUGUCAACAGGUAUCCACCUAUAUCUCACAGGUGACACGAAAUCACCCGACUUCUACCGUACUAAGCCAGCUAAGCAUAGACUCCGAGCCUAUCUACAUAGCACAAGGUAGAUAAAUAGGUGGUGAUUUCAAGGAGUAAAUAUGCUUCAACGGUAUCAAGCAACUCCUAUUACUUAAAUGCAGCAUAGUAAAACAAUCAUGAUGGACAAACUAAGCUAGCGAAAAUAGGGAGACUUAUAAUGCUCCGGGGCUUGCCUCUCUCGAAGGUGCUAGGCCUGUGGUCCAGGCAUUCCUGCAGAUCUCUUUCUGGCUCUGGUCCUUCUGGAAGUUCCUCCUCCUGUGUCUCCUCCUGCUCCUCGGGUCCCACCUCAUUCUCCUGCGAGCCUGUAUGACGCAUGUGUGCUCAUGAGUGGAGUGCAAGAUGCCCGAAGUGCAAUGCAAAUUAAGACAAGAUGAUCAUGACAUGGUGCAUAGAUGAGUAUGUGCUAACCCCAUCUCCCGUGGAGCUGAGUUCCAAAGGAUGAAACAAGAAACUACUUCUACAAGGUAGUCAAUAUCAUCCAAGAACAAGUAACCAAAGUAAAGCAUCUAUUGCAUUCUCUUCUACGAGUUAUUAUUAACCAGCAAGCUACCAUGAUGCUUCAAAGAUACACCAAACACAAAUGCAUUCUAUUCAUCUCAUGCAUAACAAGGGUUUAUUUAUUUAAUUAUUAUUAAGCCUACAACAGUAGCAUAUACUUCUGUACUUCAAUAAAUUCUACAAAAACUACAGUAGGUUACUCUUGUUAUUUAUAAAGUUCAUCACCAAAUUUUCAUAACAUGUGGGCAAGUAACCUGGCCCACACAAAAAUCACAAGUUAAUCCACAUAAAUAAGUGUAAAUACCAUACUAGUGACAAAGUGUCAAACAACAGAUCUCAUAUUUUUAUAAAUUACUUACUAACAUAAGAAAUGUUCACAAAAAUUUCCAGAUUAAUUGCAUGAUCUAGUUAUUUAUUAAAAAUCAUAAACCCCUGCCAUGCAAGCAUUUAAAUCAUCAUAAAUUAAUUCCUACAGCAAAUAUUGUGUUACUCAUUUUUCCCAGAGACUAAACAUUCAUGCAAAGCUAGAAAAAUAAAAAUCACAUUUUUCUAAGCUAUAUUUUAUUUACUGCACAUUUUCCAAAUAACAGAAAAAUCAUGGAAUAAAUUUUUUUACACAGAAAAUUUGUACAAACAUAACAUGCAAAGGUACCAGGUUGUAGAUCUUGAAUUAUGGAACACAUCAAACUUUAUUUCAUCAUUUUUGGAGCUGUAGAUCUCAAGAUAUGGAUUAAAUACUAUUUAAACAAAUUUCUUGAAAAUAUUUAUAAAACAAAACAGAUUCAAAACGCUAGGUGCACCACAAACCCAUCACCCUGAGGCGCUGACAGGUGGGACCUGCGGGUCAGCUGACCCCACCCGUCAGACACACAGCGUGUCCGCGGCCAUGGACCGGCCAGGAUCUCACCGUCGCUAAGGUUUCCGGCGACACCAAGGUCACCUACGGCUUCCUCAGCGUGAGACGAACCUAGCCUCACUAAAUCUUGAAUCUCACAUAAACUAUAUGAAACUAUACGUGAGAAUUAUGCAUUUUCAACUACACCUUCCCAACACUUUGUCAAAUGCAAAAAUGGUGUCUAUAUUAAAUGUAGAUCUUGAUCAGUGGAGCAAUAUUGGUAUUCAUGACUUUUCUAGUCGAGACCAUCUAGGGUUUCGAAAACCGGUGCAUGGAUAUGAAUUCUUUCAAAAUUCAAAAUUGAGUGCUUCAAACUCGGUCAAAUGACCCAUUUGAUCACUUCAAAUGAAACAAUUUUGAAUACAAUGGUGAUCAUCAAGAUAUACAUUUGAUACAAUGUCCAUUUUUCUAUUUGGAUAAAUUUUAGCCACUCCUAGGCAUAUGUGUUUAAAAUCCAAGACGGGUUUUGGUCAAACUUGGUCAAAUGACAAACUAAAUUACUUAAAAUGAAAAACAUUUGAAUACCAAGUUGAUAGAGAUCAUCAAGAUCCAAACAUUCUAUAUAGACCAUUUUUCCAUUUGGGAAAGUUUAAGUAUACAAUACUCACUAAAUCUUGAAUCUCACAUAAACUAUAUGAAACUAUAUGUGAGAAUUGCGGAUUUACAACUGCACCUUCCCAACAAUUUGUGAAUUGCAAAAAUGGUCUAUAUAUUAAAUGUAGAUCUUGAUGAGUGGAACAAUUUAGUAUUCAUUACUUUUCUAGUCGAGACCAUCUAAGGUUCCGAAAACCGGUGCAUGGCUAUGAAUUCUUUCAAAAUUCAAAAUUGAGUGCUUCAAACUCGGUCAAAUGACCCAUUUGAUCACUUCAAAUGAAACAAUUUGAAUACAAAGUUGUUAUAGAUCAUCAAGAUAUACAUUUGAUACAUUGUCCAUUUUUCCAUUUGGGUAAAUUUUUAGCCAAUCCUAGGCACAUGUCUUUAAAAUCCAAGAUAGGUUUUUGGUCAAACUUGGUCAAAUGACAAACUAAAUUACUUAAAAUGAAAAACAUUUGAAUACCAAGUUGAUAGAGAUCAUCAAGAUCCAAACUUUUUAUAUAGACCAUUUUUCCAUUGGAGAAAGUUUAAGUAUACAAUACUCACUAAAUCUUCAAUCUCACAUAAACUAUAUGAAACUAUACAUGAGAAUUAUGGAUUUUCAACUACACCUUCCCAACACUUUGUCAAAUGCAAAAAUGGUGUCUAUAUGAAAUGUAGAUCUUGAUCAGUGGAGCAAUAUUGGUAUUCAUGACUUUUCUAGUCGAGACCAUCUAGGGUUUCGAAAACCGUUGCGUGGCUAUGAAUUCUUUCAAAAUUCAAAAUUGAGUGCUUCAAACUCGGUCAAAUGACCCAUUUGAUCACUUCAAAUGAAACAAUUUUGAAUACAAAGUUGUUAGAUAUCAACAAGAUCUAUAUUUGAUACAUUAUCCAUUUUUCCAUUUGGAUAAAUUUUUAGCCAAUCCUAGGCACAUGUCUUUAAAAUCCAAGACAGGUUUUUGGUCUAACUUGGUCAAAUGACAAACUAAAUUACUUAAAAUGAAAAACAUUUGAAUACCAACUUGUUAGAGAUCAUCAAGAUCCAAACUAUUUAUAUAGACAGAUUUUCCAUUGGAGAAAGUUUAAGUAUACAAUACUCACUAAAUCUUGAAUCUCACAUAAACUAUAUGAAACUAUACGUGAGAAUUAUGGAUUUUCAACUACACCUUCCCAACACUUUGUGAAUUGCAAAAAUGGUCUAUAUAUUAAAUGUAGAUCUUGACGAGUGGAACAAUAUUAGUAUUCAUGACUUUUCCAGUCGAGACCAUCAAAGGUUCCGAAAACCGGUGUGUGGCUAUGAAUUCUUUCAAAAUUCAAAAUUGAGUGCUUCAAACUUGGUCAAAUGACCAAUUUCAUGACUUCAAAAGAAACAUUUUGAAUACAAAGUUGUUAGAGAUCAUCAAGAUCUAUAUUUGAUACAUUGUCCAUUUUUCCAUUUUGAUAAAUUUUUUGCCAAUCCUAGGCACAUGUGUUUAAAAUCCAAGACGGGUUUUGGUCAAACUUGUUCAAAUGACAAACUAAAUUCUUAAAAUGAAAAACAUUUGAAUACCAAGUUGAUAGAUAUCAUCAAGAUCCAAACUUUUUAUAUAGACCAUUUUUCCAUUUGAGAAAGUUUAGGUAUACAAUACUCACUAAAUCUUGAAUCUCACAUAAACUAUAUGAAACUAUAUGUGAGAAGUGCGGAUUUUCAACUACACCUUCCCAACACUUUGUGAAUUGAAAAAAUGGUCUAUAUAUUAAAUGUAGAUCUUGAUGAGUGGAACAAUUUAGUAUUCAUGACUUUUUCAGUCGAGACCAUCUAAGGUUCCGAAAACCGGUGCGUGGCUAUGAAUUCUUUCAAAAUUCAAAAUUGAGCGCUUCAAACUCGGUCAAAUGACCCAUUUGAUCACUUCAAAUGAAACAAUUUUGAAUACAAUUUUGAUCAUCAAUAUAUACAUUUGAUACAUUGUCCAUUUUUCCAUUUGGAUAAAUUUUAGCCACUCCUAGGCACAUGUGUUUAAAAUCCAAGACGGGUUUUGGUCAAACAUGGUCAAAUGACAAACUAAAUUACUUAAAAUGAAAAAGAUUUGAAUGUUGAUAGAGAUCAUCAAGAUCUAGACUUUUUAUAUAGAUUCCAUUUGAGAAAGUUUAAGUAAACUAUACUCACUAAAUCUUGAAUCUCACAUAAACUAUAUGAAGCUAUAUGUGAGAAUUGUGGAUUUUCAACGACACCUUCACAACACUUUGUCAAAUGCAAAAAUGGUUUGUAUAUUAAAUCUAGAUCUUGAUUAGUGGAGCAAUGUUGGUAUUCAUGACUUUUCUAGUCGAGACCAUCUAGGGUUUCGAAAACUGGUGCGCGGCUAUGAAUUCUUUCAAAAUUCAAAAUUGAGUGCUUCAAACUCGGUCAAAUGGCCGAUUAGAUCAAUUCAAAUGAAACAAUUUUGAAUACAAUGUUGUUAGAGAUCAUCAAGAUAUACAUUUGAUACAUUGUCUAUUUUUACAUUUGGAUAAAUUUUAGCCACUCCUAGGCACAUGUGUUUAAAAUCCAAGACGGGUUUUGGUCAAACUUGGACAAAUGACAAACUAAAUUCUUAAAAUGAAAAACAUUUGAAUACCAAGUUGAUAGAUAUCAUCAAGAUCCAAACUUUUUAUAUAGACCAUUUUUCCAUUUGAGAAAGUUUAGGUAUACAAUACUCACUAAAUCUUGAAUCUCACAUAAACUAUAUGAAACUAUAUGUGAGAAUUGCGGAUUUUCAACUACACCUUCCCAACACUUUGUGAAUUGCAAAAAUAGUCUAUAUAUUAAAUGUAGAUCUGGAUGAGUGGAACAAUAUUAGUAUUCAUGACUUUUCCGGUCGAGACCAUCUAAGAUUCCGAAAACCGGUGCCUGGCUAUGAAUUCUUUCAAAAUUCAAAAUUGAGUGCUACAAACUUGGUCAAAUGACCCAUUUCAUGACUUCAAAUGAAACAUUAAGAAUACAAAGUUGUUAGAGAUCAUCAAGAUCUAUAUUUGAUACAUUGUCCAUUUUUCCAUUUGGAUAAAUUUUAGCCAAUCCUAGGCACAUGUCUUUAAAAUUCAAGACAGGAUUUGGUCAAACUAGGUCAAAUAACAAACUAAAUUACUUAAAAUGAAAAUAUUUGAAUACCAAGUUGUUAGAGAUCAUCAAGAUCCAAACUUUUUAUAUAGACCAUUUUUCAAUUUGAGAAAGUUUAAGUAAACAAUAAUCACUAAAUCUUGAAUCUCACAUAAACUAUAUGAAGCUAUAUGUGAGAAUUGUGGAUUUUCAACGACACCUUCACAACACUUUGUCAAAUGCAAAAAUGGUCUGUAUAUUAAAUCUAGAUCUUGAUCAGUGGAGCAAUAUUGGUAUUCAUGAUUUUUCUAGUCAGGGCCAUCUAGGGUUUCGAAAACCGGUGCGUGGCUAUGAAUUCUUUCAAAAUUCAAAAUUGAGUGCUUGAAACUCGGUCAAAUGGCCCAUUAGAUCACUUCAAAUGAAACAAUUUUGAAUACAAUGUUGUUAGAGAUCAUCAAGAUAUACAUUUGAUACAUUGUCUAUUUUUCCAUUUGGAUAAAUUUUAGCCACUCCCAGGCACAUGUGUUUAAAAUGCAAGACGGGUUUUGGUCAAACUUGGUCAAAUGACAAACUAAAUUCUUAAAAUGAAAAACAUUUGAAUACCAAGUUGAUAGAUAUCAUCAAGAUCCAAACUUUUUAGAUAGACCAUUUUUUCAUUUGAGAAAGUUUAAGUAUACUAUACUCACUAAAUCUUGAAUCUCACAUAAACUAUAUGAAACUAUAUGUGAGAAUUGCGGAUUUUCAGCUACACCUUCCCAACACUUUGUGAAUUGCAAAAAUGGUCUAUAUAAUAAAUGUAGAUCUGGAUGAGUGGAACAAUAUUAGUAUUCAUGACAUUUCCGGUCGAGACCAUCUAAGAUUCUGAAAACCGGUGCGUGGCUAUGAAUUCUUUCAAAAUUCAAAAUUGAGUGCUUCAAACUUGGUCAAAUGACCCAUUUCAUGACUUCAAAUGAAACAUUUUGAAUACAAAGUUGUUAGAGAUCAUCAAGAUCUAUAUUUUAUGCAUUGUCCAUUUUUCCAUUUGGAUAAAUUUUAGCCAAUCCUAGGCAAUGUCCUUAAAAUCCAAGACAGGUUUUUGUCAAACUUGGUCAAAUGACAAACUAAAUUACUUAAAAAGAAAAACAUUUGAAUACCAAGUUGUUAGAGAUCAUCAAGAUCCAAACUUUUUAUAUAGACCAUUUUUCAAUUUGAGAAAGUUUAAGUAAACAAUAGCCACUAAAUCUUGAAUCUCACAUAAACUAUAUGAAGCUAUAUGUGAGAAUCGCGGAUUUUCAACGACACCUUCACAACACUUUGUCAAAUGCAAAAAUGGUCUGUAUAUUAAAUCUAGAUCUUGAUCAGUGGAGCAAUAUUGGUAUUCAUGACUUUUCUAGUCGAGACCAUCUAGGGUUCCGAAAACCGGUGCGUGGCUAUGAAUUCUUUCAAAGCUCAAAAUUGAGUGCUUCGAACUCGGUCAAAUGUCCCAUUAGAUCACUUCAAAUGAAAAAAUUUUCAAUACAAUGUUGUUAGAGAUCAUCAAGAUAUACAUUUGAUACAUUGUCUAUUUUUCCAUUUGGAUAAAUUUUAGCCACUCCUAGGCACAUGUCUUUAAAAUCCAGGAUGGGUUUUGGUCAAACUUGGUCAAAUGACAAACUAAAUUACUUAAAAUGAAAAAUAUUUGAAUACCAAGUUGAUAGAUAUCAUCAAGAUCCAAACUUUUUAUAUAGACCAUUUUUCCAUUGGAGAAAGUUUAAGUAUACAAUACUCACUAAAUCUUGAAUCUCACAUAAACUACACGAAACUAUAUGUGAGAAUUAUGGAUUUUCAACUACACCUUCCCAACACUUUGUGAAUUGCAAAAAUGGUCUAUAUAUUAAAUGUAGAUAUGGAUGAGUGGAACAAUAUUAGUAUUCAUGACUUUUCCAGUCGAGACCAUCUAAGAUUCCGAAAACCGGUGCGUGGCUAUGAAUUCUCUCAAAAUUCAAAAUUGAGUGCUUCAAACUUGGUCAAAUGACCCAUUUCAUGACUUCGAAUGAAACAUUUUGAAUACAAAGUUGUUAGAGAUCAUCAAGAUCUAUAUUUGAUACAUUGUCCAUUUUUCCAUUUGGAUAUAUUUUUAGCCAAUCCUAGGCACAUGUCCUUAAAAUCCAAGACAGGUUUUGUUCAAACUUGGUCAAAUGACAAACUUAAUUACUUAAAAUGAAAAACAUUUGAAUACCAAGUUGAUAGAGAUCAUCAAGAUCCAAACUUUAUAUAUAGACCAUUUUUCCUUUUGAGAAAGUUUAAGUAUACAAUACUCACUAAAUCUUGAAUCUCACAUAAACUACAGGAAACUAUAUGUGAGAAUUGCGGAUUUCCAACUACACCUUCCCAACACUUUGUGAAUUGCAAAAAUGGUCUAUAUAUUAAAUGUAGAUCUUGAUGAGUGGAACAAUUUAGUAUUCAUUACUUUUCUCAUCGAGACCAUCUAAGGUUCCGAAAACCGGUGCGUGGCUAUGAAUUCUUUCAAAAUUCAAAAUUGAGUGCUUCAAACUCGGUCAAAUGACCCAUUUGAUCGCUUCAAAUGAAACAAUUUGAAUACAAAGUUGUUAGAGAUCAUCUAGAUCUAUAUUUAAUACAUUGUCCAUUUUUCCAUUUGGAUAAAUUUUUAGCCAAUCCUAGGCACAUGUCUAUAAAAUCCAAGACAGGUUUCUGGUCAAACUUGGUCAAAUAACAAACUAAAUUACUUAAAAUGAAAAACAUUUGAAUACCAAGUUGUUAGAGAUCAUCAAGAUCCAAACUUUUUAUAUAGACCAAUUUUCCAUUGCAGAAAGUUUAAGUAUACAAUACUCACUAAAUCUUCAAUCUCACAUAAACUAUAUGAAACUAUACGUGAGAAUUAUGGAUUUUCAACUACACCUUCCCAACACUUUGUCAAAUGCAAAAAUGGUGUCUAUAUUAAAUGUAGAUCUUGAUCAGUGGAGCAAUAUUGGUAUUCAUGACUUUUCUAGUCGAGACCAUCUAGGGUUUCAAAAACCGGUGCGUGGCUAUGAAUUCUUUCAAAAUUCAAAAUUGAGUGCUUCAAACUCGGUCAAAUGACCCAUUUGAUCACUUCAAAUGAAACAAUUUUGAAUACAAUGGUGAUCAUCAAGAUAUACAUUUGACACAUUGUCCAUUUUUCCAUUUGGAUAAAUUUUAGCCACUCCUAGGCAUAUGUGUUUAAAAUCCAAGACGGGUUUUGGUCAAACUUGGUCAAAUGGCAAACUAAAUUACUUAAAAUGUAAAACAUUUGUCCUUAAAAUCCAAGACAGGUUUUGUUCAAACUUGGUCAAAUGACAAACUAAAUUACUUAAAAUGAAAAACAUUUGAAUACCAAGUUGAUAGAGAUCAUCAAGAUCCAAACUUUCUAUAUAGACCAUUUUUCCAUUUGAGAAAGUUUAAGUAUACAAUACUCACUAAAUCUUGAAUCUCACAUAAACUAUAUGAAACUAUAUGUGAGAAUUGCGGAUUUUCAACUACACCUUCCCAACACUUUGUGAAUUGCAAAAAUGGUCUAUAUAUUAAAUGUAGAUCUUGAUCAGUGGAACAAUUUAGCAUUCAUUACUUUUCUAGUCGAGACCAUCUAAGGUUCCAAAAACUAGUGCAUGGCUAUGAAUUCUUUCAAAAUUCAAAAUUGAGUGCUUCAAACUCGGUCAAAUGACCCAUUUGAUCACUUCAAAUGAAACAAUUUGAAUACAAAGUUGUUACAGAUCAUCAAGAUAUACAUUUGAUACAUUGUCCAUUUUUCCAUUUGGGCAAAUUUUUAGCCAAUCCUAGGCACAUGUCUUUAAAAUCCAAGACAGGUUUUUGGUCAAACUUGGUCAAAUGACAAACUAAAUUACUUAAAAUGAAAAACAUUUGAAUACCAAGUUGAUAGAGAUCUUCAAGAUCCAAACUUUUUAUAUAGACCAUUUUUCCAUUGGAGAAAGUUUAAGUAUACAAUACUCACUAAAUCUUGAAUCUCACAUAAACUAUAUGAAACUAUACGUGAGAAUUAUGGAUUUUCAACUACACCUUCCCAACACUUUGUCAAAUGCAAAAAUGGUGUCUAUAUUAAAUGUAGAUCUUGAUCAGUGGAGCAAUAUUGGUAUUCAUGACUUUUCUAGUAGAGACCAUCUAGGGUUUCGAAAACCGGUGCGUGGCUAUGAAUUCUUUCAAAAUUCAAAAUUGAGUGCUUCAAACUCGGUCAAAUGACCCAUUUGAUCACUUCAAAUGAAUCAAUUUUGAAUACAAUGUUGAUCAUCAAUAUGUACAUUUGAUACAUUGUCCAUUUUUCCAUUUGGAUAAAUUUUAGCCACUCCUAGGCACAUGUGUUUAAAAUCCAAGAUGGGUUUUGGUCAAACUUGGUAGAAUGACAAACUAAAUUACUUAAAAUGAAAAACAUUUGAAUACCAAGUUGAUAGAGAUCAUCAAGAUCCAAACUUUUUAUAUAGACAAUUUUUCCAUUUGAGAAAGUUUAAGUAUACAAUACUCACUAAAUCUUGAAUCUCACAUAAACUAUAUGAAACUAUAUGUGAGAAUUGUGGAUUUUCAACUACACCUUCCCAACACUUUGUGAAUUGCAAAAAUAGUCUAUAUAUUAAAUGUAGAUCUUGAUAAGUGGAACAAUUUAGUAUUCAUGACUUUUCCAGUCGAGACCAUCUAAGGUUCCGUAAACCAGUGUGUGGCUAUGAAUUCUUUCAAAAUUCAAAAUUGAGUGCUUCAAACUUGGUCAAAUGACCCAUUUGAUCACUUCAAAUGAAACAAUUUGAAUACAAAGUUGUUAGAGAUCAUCAAGAUCUAUAUUUGAUACAUUGUCCAUUUUUCCAUUUGGAUAAAUUUUUAGCCAAUCCUAGGCACAUGUCUUUAAAAUCCAAGACAGGUUUCUGGUCAAACUUGGUCAAAUAACAAACUAAAUUACUUAAAAUGAAAAACAUUUGAAUACCAAGUUGUUAGGGAUCAUCAAGAUCCAAACUUUUUAUAUAGACCAAUUUUCCAUUGGAGAAUGUUUAAGUAUACAAUACUCACUAAAUCUUGAAUCUCACAUAAACUAUAUGAAACUAUAUGUGAGAAUUAUGGAUUUUCAACUACACCUUCCCAACACUUUGUCAAAUGCAAAAAUGGUGUCUAUAUUAAAUGUAGAUCUUGAUUAGUGGAGCAACAUUGGUAUUCAUGACUUUUCGAGUCGAGACCAUCUAGGGUUUCGAAAACCGGUGCGUGGCUAUGAAUUCUUUCAAAAUUCAAAAUUGAGUGCUUCAAACUCGGUCAAAUGACCCAUUUGAUCACUUCAAAUGAAACAAUUUUGAAUACAAUGGUGAUCAUUGUUGACACUUGCUAACACCACUUGAAUACUAGGUUGUCAUCCCCAGCAUGGCACUAGAGUGUACUAUGGUAUUUAUACGCACACAGAUAAUCCGCAAGCGCACGGAUACCGUUGAAGCUUUUACCCGGUUAAAGGUUUUAUCGUAUCCACAGGGAAACGGGAGAACCAACUACGCUCUAACUUAACCAAGAUAGAUAGAUAGGUGUAAAUAGGAAAGAUGAUAGAAUCGAAUAAGAACAAUAUUAAAGGUAAGAUAACAGUGAGUGAUAAUAUGGGAAUACAGAGUAGAGCAAUUCUAGUAUAUGGGCGAUGGUAGCAGAAUAGAGAGGAUAACUAUGGUUUCUCUAUUUCAAAGGGGUAUGUCUAUGUCUGGGACGAACCACGUGAUAAGAGUACACCACAAAGGAUGCUUAUCCAUAGGCCGAUAAACCCUACCCGUCCUGCUAACGAGAGGUGGACUACAGGGGACCAACGUAACUGUCACCUAUGCGGCCUACCACACGAUCCAGCUAGUCAGGGGAUAUCCACAAGUAAUCUAGGUCUAAGCACCACGCUUACACCUAUACUACAACUCUAACCUAUAGGGUCCUAUAGAUUAGAAGUACUCAACAGAGUUGUGAACCAGAACAUACAUGAUUAGUAAUUGCAUAAUGAAUUAGAAGUAGAUUACCAGAGUCAUCCCAUGAGCAAGCUUGAUUAGAGCUUGAUCAUGGCGAAGUACAACCAGAGGAAGAACCGACAGGCCAGCCUCUCCUCUAAUCCUCCUUCGCUCUCCAUCUCGCUACUAUCUAGAUCUACUCUAGUUUAGAGAAGAGAGGAGAGCUCUCAUCUCUAAACCCUAGCUUUUGCUCUAUCUAUGAAUAAUGAAUAAUGAUCAAGGGGUGCCUCCUCCAGGGGCCAGGGGGUCUGGUUUUAUAGUCCCCUCAAGUGAACCUGGGCCGUCGGAUCAAACCGACAUUGAUUGAACGGUUAUUCUUGAUCCUUUAGGUCGGUGGAGCAUAAUCCGCGAGAUUGAGCGUGAUUGGCCACAGGAGGUGGGCGGGCGCCCAGUAGGACAGGGCGGGCGCCCUGUCUCUGGCCCCGUUUUGCCUCCGCUUCGGUCUCGUGGCUUCUGGAGUCUUCUAGAUGUAAGAUAAUAGCGCGGCACGUUGAUAUCUCUAUGUAAUCCCGACGUGUGGGCCUUUCUUCCUUAUUUCCCGAUAACCCCCUGCAGAAAUAGACAAACACCAAAACUCGUGGAAUUCUGUCAGAUAAAACCCUAAGUCUUGAUGUUGAUUUCAUUUGGAUCCUUUUCUUUGUUUAUUUGAUAGUUAAAUUUGAUACUUAAGGACCGUCAACAAACUCCCCCAAGCUUACCUCUUGCUCGUCCCUGAGCAAGGAUAGACUCAGCAAUGGAUCAGAAGUUGUUGCAAUAUCUUAAAAAUUUGACGGUACACAUGCUUUUUAAAUAAGUUCUCAUCUCUGAGUUAGAGUAAACUGUCAAGAACUAAAACUUACUUACUUUACCUUUCACCAUGGGACUUGUAACUGUCACUUCUGUCUUGAGUAGUUAAAAGAUAGAACAGUCUAGCCAAGUGCCAUGUCUCUUAUUCUUGAUCAGCUAUAGCUCUGGAGUUUUUGUAGAUUUUCAAAUAAAACUCAGAGAUUCCUUGUAUGACUCUCUAAAUCUCUCUUUUUUGGUAUUUCUGGAUCCUUACCAAGGCAGUGAUGGUAUAUGCCUUCUCUCAAGAUAUGUGGUAUUUGUGGUAUAAGGCAUAGUGACAUUGCCUUCUCUCUCACCCUACUCUUAAUAAGGCUUUAAUAUCUGGAGCUCAUAGGUGGGAGAUAAAGUAUACAUACUUACAAGACAUUUAUUGUAUAGUCAAACCAUGGAUCCAAAGAAACAAAUCAAUAAGCCAAAUCAAGGUGUGCAUGUGUGGCGAAUGAAUGGUGUAUAGUGAUGAUGGUGAUAACAAUGGUGAAAGUCUAAUUCUACUUUUGCUCUUUUGAGGGGAUACAUACCUUCCUUGCUUUUUGAAACUUUAUGAGGAGAAUGAGAUGCUCUUCUUUUUCUUUUCUCUCAGAUGGGUAUCCUGUACCCCUAAUUCUACUGUCGGACACUUGUCCAUUUUUACCUCUCGUCACACUCUUUUUCUUUUCUUUCGAGGUUCCGGGCACUUGCCCCUUUUUAUUUCCUCGUUUAUUUUUUUUUCUUUUCUUUUUUUUUCUUCUUUUUUUUUCAGAGCACUCAUCUCUUGAGAUAAUAUAGCAAGUGGUAGUAGCAAGAUAACUUGAGCAUUUAUUUCACAAGGGGAAAACACAGAUGUUUUUGGCUAUUCUGUCCCGAAUUAGGAGUAGAAUAUUUUUAGGUGAUUCUGGAGAUGGAAAUGGAUGGAUAUAUGUGGAUGGUACUUCCAGAGUAGAAGUAGCAUAUAUAUGAGUGAACGUGCAAGUGAAUCUUGAUUUAACCACAUGACAAGCUUCUAAGGGUCUACACAGCUUGACCACACUCAAUGCUCAUAAGCAGUAAAUAAUAAAUGUGUGGCUCAAAGUCUAGCAAGCAUGUAUAUGGCUGUGGUAGGAAUUUAAACUUUCAUCAUACAGGAACUCAUCAUGCAACAUUUUAAAGAUUUUUCAAAGAUAAAAUUCUCCAGAAUUCUAGCAUCUCUAGGAAUAGAUAAACAGCAGCUCAACCUUCCCAUAUCAUAUCCGUUAACAACUUAGAUUUCAGAUCAAGUUUUCAUCCCACAAGUUUAGAUCUAGAGCAAACUUUAAAUUAUAAUAGUUAUGUCUAAACUUGAGAGAGAACUUCAAAUUUGCAAAUUAGGCAGAGCAACUAUUCAUCAUAUCCAUGCUAGAGUUUUAUUAUUAAGAUUCAGAUUAGCAUAGCCACUUUAUUUAUUUAUUAAACACACUAAGCAAAAGAUAUAUAUAAGCACAAAAUCUUUAUUUGUUUUUUCAUAGUUUAUGUAUUCUAAUAUAAUAUAAGUAUAAAGAUAGGUAGAAAUACUUAGCGAGAUAAAUGGGGGUGCUCUUCCUCAAACUGAAUUUUGACGUAAUUUCUCUUGAUGUAGCUAGCAGGUGGCAGAGGUGUAUUUGAAAGUCAGCAGCAUUCUGACAACGAUUAGAAUAUCCUCCGUCUGCUAGUCUUCUUGAUUCUUAAAUUCUGUGGAGCUCAAAUAGACAACAAAGCUUGUGGAACUAAUUAAGUGUUAGCAUAAAUAUCUAGCCUUCAUCACGUUGAGCUUCCUCAAUAAAUAUUACUCCCUGUUUUUAUAUUUUUAUUUUAUAAAGUAGAAAAGAAAUAUUUAUUUUAUUUUUAUGCCACCACAGUGAAGUUACUUAUGAGUUUUAUGCCACUCGUAUACCCACAUGGGGCUUAGUAUUUUUUAAAAUUUUUAUUUUCUUUUCAAGAUAGCAUGAUUAACUAAUAAUCUAUUUAAGGAAAGUAAAUAAUUAAAUGGAAAAGGGAAUGCAGAAAGGAUAAAUAUGGAUAACUACCAAUCUUACCUUUCGGCGAGGGUUCAAUGUUUUAAGUCUUCUUGUCAAGACUUCUCAUCGUGUUCAUUCUUCAGGUGCGUCAUUUGAUUCAGGUGCGGACCUUGACGUCUGCACCUUUUAAUACGGUGUCACCCAUGUUCUUCGUUUGCCCAGCAGUUCGAAGUGCGGUGUUAGCAGUAUCUUGCUCAGUGUGUUUGUGCUCGUAGUGUACCUGCUCAUAGAGACAAGGCAGAGAUCAAGUGCAUGGGCCCUGUUGGUGGAAAACACCAACAGAACCAAAAGUGUCUUUGUUCUUCUCUAACCUUAAGCAUAGUGAGCAAGACAAGUUGAUGGAUGAUAAGUUCAUGAGUGUAGCACUUAUAACAUUUGUCAGAUCAGAUCGCUCAACCUUACGGAAAGAUAAUCUAUCUAUGUAUAUGUUUUUUCUUUAUAUCUCUCAAUGAUUGAGUGUGUAACAUUUUAGCUCAUAUGAUUAGGAGUGUGGGAUCAUAGAGGUAGUACUAAGAACAAGGAUUAAAGGACUAAACAUGCUGAAUCAGUUGGGUUGGUUAAUCUAGAGUUGUAAAUCAUACAUGUUUGUCUCUUUUAUUUAUAUGAACGCCAGAACCAAGGAGAAGCUUAUAAAAGUGAUAGUCAAGUACCUUAAGAUGUUACCUUGCUUGAAGAGUGAUGGUACAGUAUCACCUUGUGGAAGCUUUCCUUUCUUAGCGGUUGUGCAUCGUGUUUGUGGCACCCUCCAUAGAUCAUCUCUCUAUGAUGAAUGAGCUAUGUCCUUCUUGUGCAAAUUGUUAAACUUCAUGUGUCACUCUCUUCGUCUCUGAUGUGAGUUUAUCUCAGGACUUGAGUAGAUAUUGGUAUAUUUUUUCCAUUGGAGAAAGUUUAAGUAUACAAUACUCCCUAAAUCUUGAAUCUCACAUAAACUAUAUGAAACUAUAUGUGAGAAUUAUGGAUUUUCAACUACACCUUCCCAACACUUUGUCAAAUGCAAAAAUGGUGUCUAUAUUAAAUGUAGAUCUUGAUUAGUGGAGAAAUAUUGGUAUUCAUGACUUUUCGAGUCGAGACCAUCUAGGGUUUCGAAAACCGGUGCGUGGCUAUGAAUUCUUUCAAAAUUCAAAAUUGAGUGCUUCAAACUCGGUCAAAUGACCC
rnacentral:lncRNA from 1 species